CUAAAGUAAAAACAUAAACAAAAACUACAGAAUAACCAAUCAACCCUCGCUCUUUGUUGUUUAUUUAUUAUUAAAAUUAACAGAAAGUGAUGAAUAGUCAAUAUUCUUAAGUUUCAACUAAAAUCUUGUAAAAUUGCCAAAAAUACAAUUUUCAAAGUACCACUUUUCAUGUUUACACUAACCAAUUUUACCCUUAUUUUUAAUGAAAGGUAAAAAACAUUUAUAACAUUUUGAUUAAUUUUGACAAAAAAAAAACAUACGGUUAACUAAUCUAAACUUAAAACAUCAACUCUAAACCCUAAAUCAUCAACUCUAAACCCUAAACCAUGAAACAUCAAUUACAAACCCUAAACCCCGAAACAUCAACUCUAAACUCUAAACCCUAAACCUUCAAAUCUAAACCCUAAAACAUCAACUCUAAACCCUAAACAUAAACCCUAAACCCUAAAUCUAAAACUUAAAACAUCAACUCUAAACCCAUGAAACAUCAACUCUAAACCCUAAACCAUGAAACAUCAACUCUAAACCCUAAACCCUAAACUCUAAACCUUCAAAUCUAAUCCCUAAAACAUCAACUCUAAACCCUAAAUGUAAACCCUAAAUGUAAACCCUAAACCCUAUAUUUUUCUGAAAUUCGAACCCUAAACCUUCAAAUCUAAAUCCUAAAACAUCAACUCUAAACCCUAAACGUAAACCUUAAACCUUCAAAUCUAAACCCUAAAACAUCACCUCUAGGGUUUUAGGGUUUAGGGUUUAGGAUUUAGGGUCUAGGGUUUAGAGUUGAAGGUUUAGGGUUUAGAGUUGAUGUUUUAGGGUUAAUUUUUUUAGGGUUUAGGGUUUAGAGUUUACUUUUUAGGGUAUAGUGUUGAUAGUUUAGGUUUAGUGUUGAUGGUUUAGGGUUUAGAGUUAAAGGUUAGGGUUUAGAGUUGAUGUUUCGGGGUAUAGGAUUUCGAGUUGAUGUUUCAGGGUUUAGGGUUCAUAUUUGAGAAAAAAGAGUAGGGUUUUUGAUUGAUGGUUUAGGGUUUAGCGUUCGUAUUUAAAAAAAGGGUUUAGGAUUGAUCGUUUAGGGUUUAGAGUUGGGUUUUAAAUAAUUAACCUCGUCAUACAAAUAUAUUUAUAUUGGGAUAUUUAGAUAAUGGUUAAUUUAUAAAAAAAAAUAUUUUUAUUGAAUUUAAGUAAUUCAAAAUUAAUUUAAAGUUCUCAAAAACUUAUUUGUGUUUAAUCUAAAUACUUAUUUAUCUGAUUAUGAUUUUUUCUCGAUGCCACGCACCAGAUUUUAUAUUAUAUAUUAUAAAUACAUAGUUUGAUUGUUAAUUUGUAUUUUAGUAAAUUUCAAAUUAAUCUUUUCAUGACUUCUUAAAAAAUAUUCUCAACAAAAUAUUUUUGCAUAAGAUAUUGUGAACUUUUCUUAUAUAUUACUUUAAAAACUUCUGUAAUACUCAUUUAUUUUCUGAAGCUUUUUGAAAUUAAAUUUUCACAGUUUUUUUAUUAGCUAUAAAACAAUACUCACAACACGGUUAACUUCAAUCUAUAUUUUUAUAUGAUCUAUUAUACUAAAAUUGAAAAUUGCUACCAAGCAUGGACAAUGGCCAAACAGCCUUAAGAACACCAUUUUAAACAACAAAUCUUCAUGCAGCAACAUUAUCUCCUCCAGCUAAGAAGCUUAACUGUUGAAACUUCCCCUUCUUCCCAACAUAUAACACUUUUAAUGUGCUGAGCACCAAAAUUUUUGUGGAUCACUAUCUUUCAUAGAAGAAGUUUGAAGCAUAUCUCCACUGUUCUUGUAAAAGAAUUUCUCGUCUUUCAGAAAAACCUCAGAAGCUUGCCUUUCCAUAUACACAAAGCAUAAUUAUGUCAACAAAAAGAAAUAGAUACUAACCGGACCAAGGUACUUAAUUAAUGCUGAAGUUUCAGCCGAGACACUUCUUCACAAUUUUUACUUCUUUCUCCUUGCCAAUAUCAGUUAAACACACAUCUAAGUUUAUUUUUGAUUGGCACAAACCUUUUGACAUAAAUGGGGGAAAAGGAGCCUGUGAGAAGUAAUUACCAGUAGAAGGUCUCUACUCAGGAAGUGGAGCAACUUAUAGUAAAAAUGAAGGUUAUGUCCAUACCGAUGUCAAAGGUCACAAACCUUUACCAACCUCAUCUGCUCUUGUCCAAGCUCGAGAUCUCACCUGGAAUUCACGGUUUCAUGUUUCUCGAUAUCAAAGAAUGAUAUAUAACUUCUUUUUACCUCACCAAAGUCUAAGAGUUUCUGCCUGUGAUUGAAACAAAGGGGAUUUAUCAUACAACAUAAGAUCACGACAACACAAUAACAGCAGAAGUUUUGAAAUCAAAACACUAACAGGUAACAGCUUUGCUCCACGAGCACUGCACAUCCUGCGAGCUUUCACCUGGUACCAAAUAUUUUGUAAAAUUUAUGUAACUUAAUAGCAGCUUCGUGUUUGGGGUUCCUCAGAUCAAGAACUGAAAUUUAUCUAAAAAUCCCAACAAUGUGUAACUCAGAGCGAGAUCAUUCUCUCCGGUUGCAUCCAUUUGAAGGGAAUGGAUUUCUCAACAACCAUUUUACCACAAAAUCCCAAGAUCUCUUAACCAGGAGUCUAGAGCAGCCUCCACGUCAUAUCCAACAUAUCGCACAAUACAAUAGUGAGAUUCUGACCUGAAGUGAAACAUCAAGAAUUUGUUAUGUCUGACUCAUACAUGUUUGUAUAUAUAUACAGAAACCCAAAAAAAUCAUGAAAAUAAAAUACAAACAGAGAAAGAAGCGCAUUUCACACACAACUUCUGAACAAUAGAUUCAGCCAAAGAACAAAGAUUGAAAAAAAAAAAUCAGAACUUCUCAAAUCUAGAAAAACAGAGCAACUCACUGAGAAGACUUAGUCGUAGUCAAGAUGAAUAAGUACCUUGAAUAUACCACCAGAAAUGUAUUUACAACUGCAUUUUCCCUUUUGUUGAGCAAGCUGCGAAAACAGAGGGAGAGAGAGUGAUGAAAGAUGGCAAAAAAGAGACUGGAUAACACUAUAUAUAAGCAGAGCAAAGUUGAAAAACUUGAGUCAAUGAAAUAAUUAAUUUAGUUUUAGGGACCUCUAUGUACGUAGCUCUGGUUUCCAUGUGGGGUAAAUGGAGUCUGUCAGACCCUUGUGGCUGCAGAUGCAUCUUUCCAAUACAAAUCUGGACAAUUCUCUAAAUAACAUGCCACAUCGAUCACAUAGCUGAAAGGAAAAAAUAUUUUGAAUGGACAAUGAAAUCAUUAGGGAAGUAGUAGAAGCUAAGUUGCUGGAAUUAAUAAAAAAAGAAGGAAUCUGAUGAAGUGCAGAGAUGAAUAUAUGAAAGGCAUGCGUGUUGGUUCAUGCCAAACUCAAAAAUCAGCAUCACCACACACAGCCAAAUAAAAUUAACAUCACCGUGCAUCCGACACGAAACAAAAUAUGAAUACUUUAUGUUACAAAUCACUCUUAGGGCCAACUUCUUUGAGGGAUUAACCAUACCUGCUGAGAAACGAUUUCCGAAGACUGAUCCAGAAGGAGUUUGCUCGACAUACUCGUACUUUGCUGAGAUCGACUGAAGCAAGCCACAUUCAGUGGAUCUUAAUUUCCGGCGGAGAUUGAUAGGGUUUUUUCAUCGCUAGAUAUAGAGAGAGCGAGAAAGAGGAGUCGAAGAGGAUUCAUGGGUGAAGUUAAUGGGAAAAAAAUAGAAUAUAAACUGUUAAGAAUGAGAAAUCGGAAAGGUCAUCAAAAAGAAAAACAAUAUCGUCGGUUGGCUACAUUGAAGAACGCUGACAUGGCACAAUACAAUAGUGUGAUUGGUCUGAAUUUCUUGGCUAUAUUGUGCUUUUAGUAUUGUGAUAUGUAACCUCUGGAGUGGUGUUUGAGUGAGAAGUUAGGUUUAAGAAGAUUGUAGAAACCUAAUCUCCAUCAACUUUGGUAUGGAUACUUGUGCACCAAGAAAGAUGAUAUGAUGAAGAUGGGAUUGUUGUGUUGUUGAUUAUUCGAACUCUUCUCUUUCAUCUCAAGAAGCUUUUUUUUCUUUCUUAUGAACUCUACAGGGUUGAACAUUUGUAGCUGAAUCCUCCAAACCAAAAAAACUUGAAUUUAUAAAAAAAAAAAUUGACUGAACUUUUAUAAAAUGUUUGAAUCGAUCAUGUAGGAAAAUACUCGAAUAUCCAAAAUAAUAAUGCUUCAAGAUAUUAUUCUUAUUUGUUAAUUACUCCAAAAUAAUAUUCUAAACUUAAAUAAUGAAUAAUAUAAUUAUUUAAUUUUAUAUUAGUUUUGAUACAAAAUAUAAAAAAAUGUGAAACUAAAAUAUUAUUAACUGAAUUUGAAAUGAAUCAUCUUAUAUAGACACUAGGUCAGGUAUAAAUUGUUCUAUAGAGGCUAAAUCGAAAACAUUGGUUCCAAACUCAAAACAUUCAUGCCUAAUUUUCAGAAACAGAGUUGGCGCGUAUGAGCUCUGUUUUCCCUGGACCAAGAUUCUUGUCUUUGUUGCACAAGAACUCGAAAACCCUAGUUCAGGCUAAGCAAAUCCAUGCUCAACUCGUGAUUCACGGAUGCCAAGACAAUUCUCUCGUCGGCAAACUCAUAGGCCAUUACUGUUCGAAGCAAUCUACAGAAAGCUCCAAGCUUGCUCAUUCACUAGUGUUCCCUCGUUUUAGUCAUCCUGACAAGUUUCUAUUCAACACAUUGCUUAAAUGCAGCAACCCAGAAGACUCUAUACGGAUCUUCACCAACUGGGUAUCAAAAAGUUCGUUGCUUUAUCUCAACGAGCGCACGUUCGUCUUCCUCCUCGGCGCUUGCGCCAGGUCGGCUUCUUCGUCGCGUGUCGGGAGGAUCGUUCACGGGCUGGUGAUAAAGCUUGGGUUUCUCUAUAAAUCUGAGUUGAUUGGAACCACUUUGCUCCAUUUCUAUGCCAAGCAUGGGGAUAUACGGUAUGCUCGGAAAGUGUUCGAUGAAAUGCCUGAGAGAACUUCAGUUACAUGGAACGCAAUGAUCGGAGGGUACUGUUCGCAUAAGGACAAAGGGAAUCACAGUGCGAGAAAAGGGAUGAUUCUGUUCCGGAGAUUCUCCUACUUUGGUGAUGGAGUUAGUAGACCUACUGAUACAACCAUGGUUUGUGUUCUUUCAGCCAUCUCUCAGAUGGGUUUGCUCGAAGUUGGUGCUCUUGUUCAUGGAUACAUAGAGAAACUUGGUUUCACGCCCGAAGUUGAUGUCUUUAUCGGUACUGGACUUGUUGACAUGUACUCCAAAUGCGGCUGCUUAAACAGUGCUAUCUCUGUGUUCGAGCUAAUGAGAGCGAAGAAUGUCUUGACAUGGACCUCAAUGGCGACGGGGCUAGCUCUCAACGGAAGGGGGAACGAAACACCGAGUCUUCUAAACCGAAUGGCGGAGUCUGGUAUCAAACCAAACGUAGUAUCUUUCACUAGUUUGCUUUCGGCUUACCGUCAUAACGGUCUUGUUCAAGAAGGACUGGAGUUGUUUCAGAGCAUGAGGGCAAGGUUUGGUGUGACUCCGAUUAUUCAACACUACGGAUGCAUAGUAGAUCUUCUCGGCAAAGCAGGGCGGUUACAAGAAGCGUAUGAGUUUGUGUUGGCUAUGCCUAUCAAACCCGACGCUAUCAUGUUGAGAAGUCUCUGCAAUGCCUGCAGCAUCUAUGGAGAGACUGUGAUGGGUGAAGAGAUCGGAAAAGCUCUUAUCAAGAUGGAACUAGAGGAGAAGGGUGAUGAAAGCGAAGAUUAUGUUGCUUUGUCUAAUGUGUUAGCUUCUAAAGGGAAAUGGGUAGAGGUAGAGAAGCUGAGGGAUGAGAUGAAAGCAAGAAGGAUCAAAACAAGACCUGGUUACAGCUUUGUUUAGAUCAGAAACUAAUUCGCAGUUCAAGUUUCAUUAAGUAGAAUAUUUUACAUUACACAACAGAAACACAUGCAAGGUCUCUGUUCUGUUAGAAGAACUGUUGUCCUCUGAAGACUCUCUUGCCUUCUUCUUCCUCAAGCAGUUUGAUUGAAUUGAUCUCAUCAACAUCUGCACAAACAUAAUGAAAUUCAGAUCCUUAAUCUUCAUACUCACAAGGACAAGGUCUGUUCUUACCAUUUAGAAUCUUAUCAAACUCAUCGUCUCUUGGUCUCUUCUUGGGGUUUGUACCACCACCCUGAUCAUUUCUUCUUGUACCUUGAGUUCCAAGAAACCCUUCGUCUGUAACGUCCAUCACCUCAUCGUCGCUGUCACUGAUAUGAACUGCAUCCAGUGGAUAGUCGAUCUCGCAAGCCGAAACAUUGAAGAUCAUUACACUGAAAGUUGAGUUUCCUUUGUAGUCGAAGAAGAGAAAAUGGCCUUCGCUGAUGGAAUGAGCCUCUGCAAACUCACUCCAACCGCCCUGUAACCAAAUCUCUUCACCUAUCCGUUUAAGCUUUAUGGAACGCCUGAAUCCCACAGGAGUCUCCAAUGUAACGAAUUCAGAGAGUGUUGACCCUUGUAGUAUCACAAAUCUUGGUGGAAUCAUCUGUUCAGACAAGAAGUAAGAAAAUGUUAGAUCUUGGGUUCUCUACAGUGUCUUAAGAACAAUCUGUAAAUUUUAGCAUCCCUUUUAGAUCUCUAAUCCAAGAAAAUACAAAGUAAUGGAGUAUUGUCUAGCAAAUCUGCUGAUAUAAUCCCAAUAAGUGUAAAGAAACAAAGAAUUGAACCAACAACAACACAUGCAGGGUGUUUUUUUUCCAAGUGAAACUCUGAUCUACAAGUGUUAUAUCUAUUACCAGCAUGUUUCUCUUCACUGUUGAGGGUAAAACCACCUUGAAGAACUUCUUGACCGAAGAAUCUGGCUCCGGUUGUGGCCGUCGGUGAGAGGCUGUUGUGACUCUGGCCUUCGUUUGCCGUGUAGUAACCAUUUUUCCUCCCUUUUUUUCUUUAACUUUCCCGAAGAGUGAACCAGAGUGGAGAGUUAAAAGCCAAUGUUUUUAAACCCGAGCCGGACACUGAACCGGACGACUUACUGGGUUACUGAGUCACUGGAUCGACCGCAGAUGAACCACAGGUUGAUAAAUAAAUUAAUUUUAUUAUAUAAUAAUAUACCAGCUAUGUAAAUAAAAAUAUAGAAAUUAAAUUUUAAUAUUUUCUAAAUAUUUUUUAAAACAUAAAAUAAUAGUUUGGAUAUGUAUAUAUUUUAUGUUUAAAAACAUUUAAAAAAUACUUAACUUUAGUUUUUAUAUUUUUAUUUUCAUUUGACAUACAAAAUAUCAAAAAAUAGUUUAGACUAUUUAAAAUUUUUUCUAACAAAGUAAGAGUUAUGACAUCUAAAAAAAUCAAGACAUUAAAUUUAUAAAUAUUUAAAUGUCUAAAUGAAUAAUAAAUUAAACUCAAAUACAAAAUAAACCAAAAGUAAAAGAUUAUUGUAAUAAAUUGUCAAUAACAGAAAUAAACUAACACCAAAUCGCAUCAACUAAUUUUGGUUCUCUCUACCAUCGUUCAUUUCAUUUUCUUCAGGCGGCAUAGUGAAAUCUUCGCCAAAAUCUAAAAAUCACAAAUAUAAAACUUAAAAAUAAAACCUAACUUUUUUUUUUGUCAGCAUCUAAGUUCUCAAUUAAAAACUUAGAAUAUAAGACAUAAUCUAAAAACAUGACUAAAAACUAAAAAAAAAAAAGUUAUUUAUUGGUUCAACCGUGGUUCAACCGGUAUCGGGUUCCGGAUUUACUGAAUUUUUACGGGUUUUUGUGGGUUUCUAAAUAUUGGAUUUUUCACAAAAACCCAACCGAAUUUUUCUGGGCCACCGGGUUUAUCGGUUUAAUCGCGGAUGCGGGUCGGGUUUCAAAACACUGGUUAAAGCCAAUAAAGAGAGAAACCGAAAAGGACUGAAGUUAUUUGUCGUGAUGUUGUGAUAUUAUGUAUCUGACAAGUGACAAGACAAUCUACUUUAAUUUUUCUAGUUUCCCAAGACUCUCAUAAAAGUUUUCACCAUUCAAAAAGAAGUCUUGAUUAGGUAAAAGAUUAUUAAAGUUACCAGAGUAAGGUAUGACAAAAACACCAAAAAAUCAAAGAUAACCCUUGUUACGAUUUGGAAAAGGCAUUCAACACAAACAUAGAAAUAUGAUUUUAAAAAGAAAAAUUUUCUUUGCUUUUUUUCGAGAUUACUAAUUUAAAAAAAUUUCACUGUAUAUAUCAAUGUUCUAAAAUUUGGUAGACAGUGAGUGGUCAAGCAUGUUUAGACAGACGCGUAGGCCUAUUUUUAGAACAUUGGUAUAUAUGUUCAUUGCAUUUACUUUAACUUUGCCAUCAGCGUAAUCAUAAUUCAUAAGUAAGGUAUAAAACACAAAAAAUCAGAGAUAACCUUGUUAUAAUUUGGAAAACGCAUUUACAUUGAUACAAAUAUGAUUCUUGAAAGAAAAAAUUUCUUUACUUAAUUUUGACAUUAUUAAUUUAAAAUUUUCAAUAUAUGUAUCAAUGUUCUAAAAAUCGCUAGGCGAAAAAUCGCUAGGCGGUGGUUAGGCGUUUUAUAGAGGAUUAUUGUUUAGAUGGCGCCUAGGCCAAUUUUUAGAAUACUGGUAUACAUGUUCAUUGCAUUUACUUUAACCUUGUCAAUUUGUCAUCAGCAUAAUCAAGAGAUAAAUCAAGGAAGCCUAAUUACAACAAUAUGUAUUAAACAUGUGGCAAUGGGUUUUUACUACACAAGUGAGAAAGAGUGAUUAUGAGCCAAGCAGCUUCUUCCACCAUGCGUAACCAAGGGUGAGCAAGAAUAGCACAACGCAAACCGCAGUAACACUCGAGAGAAAGUAACCAAACACAUCAUCCAUUUUAUACAAUGGACACGGUAUGUUCAUUCCGAACAAGCUUACCAACAAUGUGUUUGCAGUUAUAGCAAACGAGGCUAUGGUCAGCGUCAGUUGCAGUUGGAUCAUUUCGUUACGUUGAUUAUCAAGUUGUAUGUUCACGUAGUCUUCUGUGUCGUCAAUGUACUCCCUCACCGUAAAAAUCCUGUUUCGCAUCCCCUCUAGUUGCAUGAAGUACGCCUCCAGCAACAUCUCUAGAUCCUCCACGUCGUCGCCCUUCGUAGUACUCGUCACCAUACUGGAACUUCUGUUUGAUGUGGCCCGACUGAGAAGAUUUGAUGCGGUCUCACCAAGUUCUGCUUCGGAUUGCUGGUUCUGUUGGAUCCAUUUCCUUGUUAAGUACAAGUCUGCCAUGUCUUCGUUGUCAUCUAACAAGUGUUCGAUUUCAUCUCUCACCUGCAUCAAUUGCAGAAGAAAAGUUCUCACAUCAGAAAUAAAAAAAUGAAUUAAGUAAUAUCCAAAAGACUUACCGUUAAUUAAUUUUAAGUUAGAAGUUCAAAAAAUUUAAUAUGGUAUCAGAACGAACCCAUACUCUACCCAUUCAUUAAUCCUACCCGAAAAAUGACAUGAUGAUCCUAUCAACCCAAUAAAAGAAAACUAAAUUCCAUGGAAAUAGCUAAAAAUAACAUUAUCUCGGAGAGGUACGAUGGAUUUUGCUUUGAAGUUUUAGGCUCUCCUCCAUCACAACAAACAUUAUAUAGAAUCAUGACGAAAUGAUCAAACCUAACCUUUUGUACACGGGCUAGCAACCUGGUGAGAUUACUUUUCAAGCUUCGAACGUAUUCAAGAUUCUCAGUGCUGACAUUCUUGGUUAGUUCAUCAAGAACAGGCCAAGCUUCUGUCUCAAGUGCAUCAACGCUCGUAUCAAGAAGCGAGCAGACGACCUCCAGCGCAAUCUCGAGAACCUGGAACUCAAAAGGAAGCUCACUCUGCAAACCCUCUCCAGCUUCUUGAUCAAGAAGAGAAGAGGAUUGCACAACGUUUCCAGAAGCAUUAGUAAUCUGAGGAAACUGUAGCUUGAGUCGUUCAACGAAUGGAAGAACUUCAGGACGGAGAGGAUCCAAGAGCAGCACUUCUUCAGCGGUAACUAUUAGCUUUAUGACUUCUAAGUUCACAACAAUUGCUUUCUCCCUCGCUGCACAGAGCCAAAGAUACAUACAUGUAUUAGCUUCUAUAUCAAGAAUGGGUUAUACUUUCUCUCUAAUACACUAUACCAAGAAUGUUAGAAGAGUGAGAGAAGACAGGUCCAAGAAUCCUGAGAUCUCUAGGGGGGACAGAAGCACGUUUGAUGAUUGUACUCUUGUCGCAUUCCACUACUUCCAUAGCUCCAGUCCGAUCAAACCUCAUCCACAACCUCGCUCCUCCAGCUUUCUUCUUCGCCUUCGCAACAACCGCAGCUGGAGUCAUCGGCGUAGGAGGCGGUGAAGACGAGAUGAGGCUACUCUCUGCUUCAUCCUUAGCCGCAGUGCGCUUCUUACGGUGGCGGAUGCUGGAAAGACGGCGGAACGACAACUUGCCUUCUCCCAUUGCGAUUGAUUAUUUGUACCUAUCGGCGCAGAGCUCAGAGAUCUUGCCGCUUCUUGGCUUUGUCAAGUUCCGACAGAUCGUUUCUCUACCGUAAACGCUAGUGAGGAACAGUGUUGGUAGUUUUGUAUUAUUGUAGUGGUUCAAAAAAAUAUCCAAAGAUCAGGCCAACGAAUUAAAAAGAGAUAUGUUUUGGGUUUUGGUUCUAAAAAGAUACGAUGAGCUGGCUUUAUUCACAAAAAGGUCCAAAAGAGUGUAUGAAAAAAAUAGUUCCGACCUGCCGGAAUCGAACCAGCGACCUAAAGAUUAUCCGCAUCUACUACAGUCUUCCGCUCUACCAACUGAGCUAAGGUCGGCUACGUUUAACGUAUUAACGUAAUCAUGUAUAUUUAAAUGUUAUACUAGUUCUAGUUGGAGUGUAAAAUCAUUUUUAUUCUUAACUCGUGAUCGUGUUUACAAAUUAUUCCAAAUUACUCGUGAUCAGGCCAACGAAUUAAAAAGAGAUAUGUUUUGGGUUUUGGUUCUAAAAAGAUACGAUGAGCUGGCUUUAUUCACAAAAAGGUCCAAAAGAGUGUAUGAAAAAAAUAGUUCCGACCUGCCGGAAUCGAACCAGCGACCUAAAGAUUAUCCGCAUCUACUACAGUCUUCCGCUCUACCAACUGAGCUAAGGUCGGCUACGUUUAACGUAUUAACGUAAUCAUGUAUAUUUAAAUGUUAUACUAGUUCUAGUUGGAGUGUAAAAUCAUUUUUAUUCUUAACUCGUGAUCGUGUUUACAAAUUAUUCCAUCCAUGUAUUUUAAUAUGAUACACGGAGCAUGUAGAUCCCUAAGGUUUAAAUGACAUUAAUACUGAAAUAGAAAAGUGUAGUUUAUGAUUAAUCUAAAAGACCAUUCAUAGUCUACCAUAUGACGAUAUGAAAAUAUAUAGUAGUCCAAUUUAUGGGCUUAUUAUUCCUUCUUAAUUAAUUUGAAGUCAAAUGGACAAGAACCUAGUGGAGCUUUGCCUAACUACAUCGGAGAAGCAUAACUAACAUCUCAUCGUUUGUAAACUGCAAGCUUCAUUUUCUUCUUUGGCUUUAGGAAAGCACAUACUAGGUUUUAUGCUAAAGUUUUAAAACAUGUUCAUUGAAUGAACUUGAUGGCAAAACUGCAAAAUUUUAGUCAAUUGGCUGAAUGACUCAUGUUGGUGGUAAAAGAACCAUGAUUGGAAUUCUUCAUAUUUGAUUUCAAUUAUGGUUAACCAUUGUUUGAUGUCCAAAAUAACAAUAACACAUGAUGCUCCACAGAUUUUGAGAAGUUCGCUAAACAUUGGUUCUUCCACUCCAUUCCAUUUGAAUUGGGGUUAUACCGAACAAUUGUGAGGUGGGGAUAUGACUACUACAUCAUAUACAAGUCUGUCGUGGAAUUUUGAGAAUUUUGUUGUUAGAUGAGAGGGACCAGAGUUGGAUUCACUGUCGUACCCAGUAAUUCACACAAUACUGGUAAGGUGAAAAAGUAACUUUCCCACUCUUGUUAAAUAUCAACUUAGGUUUGGCUGGUUUUCCUUUUUGUUCCUCCACUAGAACCUUUGAAAAAUUAAAUGCUUCUGCAAGACGUGGUUUGUAUCCAUUCCAAAUCUGCCAUUCUGACUGGCCAAGAAGAAUGAAAGGAGCAUAAUAACAAGGGAAAUGAAAGCAGCAGAUGCAGUAAGAAGAGUAGCAGUAAAGGGAACGUAAGGCCUAAGGCCCUUCCACUCUUUCUUGGCCUAGUUAAUUGUAUGUCAAUGUAAAUUUGUAGCUUGUUUGAUUUACAUAUCCGAUGGCCGUUAGUGACAUUUUACAUAAACUAGGUGUUUUCCUGCACCAUGUGCAGUAAAGAAUUUUCAAAAUCUAAUGUAUAUUUAAAAAUAAAUUUAUUAAAUAUUAUAUAUUUUACUAUUUUUUUACUAAUUUUUAAUAUAGAUUUAAUAUAUAUUAAAUCAAUUUGCAUAAAACUAAUAAAAAUUGUAUAAUUAUCAAAAAUUUAGCCUAAACAAUAUUUAUAAAAUUUGUAGAUAUAUAAGAAACUAAUGAUUUUACGGUUAGAUAUUUAAUUUUUUUUUAAAUUUGUAGAAAUUUUUGAAAGUUUUAGUAAUACAAAUUGUAUAAUUAUACAAAAAUAAUAACAUUUCGAAAUUUGAAAAGUUAUAUAUGAAUAUAUUUAUUUUAUAGAUGAUGUAUGAGCUAUUACCAUAUUUAAAAGAAGUUUACCAAAAAAAUAUCAAUACUAAAUGUAAUAUAUGAAUUAUUACCAUAUUCUAAUAAGUUUGCCAAAAAUAUAAAUCAACAUUAAAUAAAAUUAUCCAUGUCAUAUUUUUCCAGAAGCCAUGUCAUCAAUUUUAGUAGUCAUGUCAUAUUUGUUUUGUGAAAUUGAUCGUAAAAAUGACAUUUGGCAAAAUCACUUCGCAAAUAUAGCAUAGGGGAUUUCACGAAGAGACCAAUAAAAAUCUUAUAUCUCAUUUUUCGACGGCUAAAUCUUAGUCAACAAAGAAAACAAACAAAUCAACUUAACGUACACAUUACAGGUCUGAAAUUUCCAAUUUAUCUUUUACAAUACCAGUUUAAACUAACCAAUAUUGCAUUUUGAACGAAUUGCAUAUAAAAUAUAAGUAACUUUGAUAUUAAAACAAUGAAAAAAUAUACGGGUUAGUCGCCCUUUCUCUGAACAUAGCAUAAUCAUUCCCACCUUUUAUGUUUCUUUAUCAAACGUAAUUCAAAUAUGUGCAGUUUACAAUGAAGCAACGAAUAAAAUAGUAAAAAACAUUCUAAACCUUUUAGAUACUUUCAUGACGUGGCCGUCCUUUAUUGGUCGUAAGAUCUGUUUCCUUUUGCCGGCCAUAAAAACUUGUCUUGACCACAAAGACAGGGACCACAUAUCCGGCGGAACAUUCUCUUUUUCCGUAGUCUCAUCCCACGCGCUAAGACUGCACGUAAUAUCUUCCCCUCCUCGGCGCAUCUCAGCCAAUCACCGGAGGCGCAGUCUCCGUCACGCGCCACACUUUCACCGAUUUAUCCAAGCUUCCACUAUACACUAUCCAUCUUCCGUUGCUAUCUUUCUCUGCCUCUUCCACCGCCGUCAAACACUUGACGGGUCCCACGUGGUCCAUCAACACCGAGAGACACGAGUGACUCCCAUCGCCGUUCCUCCUCCACACGCAAAUGUUCUUAUCCGCUCCGCCGCUCAGCACCAGACUCCCGGCGGCGGCGAGGCAGAGCACCGCCAUACGAUGGCCGCGGAGAAUCCCGCCGUGAGAAAGAUUAUUUUUCCCUUCCCAAAAAUUAACGGAACCGUCAGAAGUUCCACAGUAAACAACACACGCCGUUAAGUUAACCGCUAACGCCGUCACGGCGUUCUCUUGCUUCAUUAACACGUUUACGAGGAAAUGCUUCGUCCUUUUCCCUUGAAGCUCGCGUUUCCACACUUUCAAAGUUCCGUCGGCGGAGCCGGUGAACAGCAAGUCGUCGAACCCGGCGGCUACGGUGUUGAUGGCGUCGUCAUGAGCUUGAAUCGAUUCUAGGCAUUUCGAGUCGGAGAGUCUCCAGACUUUGAGAGUCUUGUCCCACGAACCGGAGUAGAGUAAACCGAGCUCCUCGUUCAAGCUUAGACACGAAACGGCGUCGUAGUGUCGUAUCUUCAAAACAUUUUUAUGGCGACGUACCUCGACAUAGUUCUUCGGGUUCACGGAUUUGGUCAGAAACUGCUUCGUACUCGGUAAGCUCCCGAUUCGUGAAUAUACUCCGGUUCUUUUCUUUGACCCUCUCCAAAUUCGGAUUUUACCGUCUUGAUGACCGGUAAAAAUCCGGUUAUUUCCGGUUAUCACAAUCGCUUUAACUGAACCACUUGUUGAUUUAAAACCGGCGAAGUCCUUGAGAUCUUUCCAGACCCGAAUGUUCUUGGAAUCGGAUCCAGUGAAUAGAAGAUCUCCUGAAGCAGCCAACGAGUAGACAUGACCUUCUUGCCUUACGAUCGUACCGAUCAAACCGUUGGCUGAAUCAUCAUCCACGUUUGGGGUCGUCUGGUAGAUCCAAGGAGACUUGUAAUACGGAGAGUAAGUCUGGUUCCACGGAGAUGGAGACAUAGUGGGCGUUGUUGUUGUGUCCGUGUAGUAUGGAGAAUAAGUCUGAUUCCAUGGAGAUGGGACCUGGUUUGGAGACGAGUCGCCGCUGGUGUUCGAAGCAUUGCUUUGACGUUGUUGGUUAUUGACGCUGGUGCUGGUAGGAUCGAUGACAUCAGCACCAUGACUCUGUUCUUCUUCGUCGGUGUUUAAGAAAGCAGCGAAAGUGGGUCUCCGGUGAUGAGUACCAUUGGUUUCUGCAGCUAUAACCAUAUUUUCCUCUUGAUUAGACAAAGAAAUGAAGAAAGCUAUAAAAGGAGUUGUUGUGGGGUUUGUGUUUUCUUUAAAGAGUUUUAAUUUCGUUGUCGUGUGGGGGAAAUUUUGAGGGGAAAAAAAGUUUGAAAUUGGUGAGAUUUUUAGAAAUAAAAGAGAGGAAGAGGAAGUUUGGUUGGGAUUAUAUAUAGAGAAGCUGAAGGAGUAAAAGUUGGUGAGCGGACGACGUGGGUUACUGACGCGUGGCUUUGAGACUUGAGACGUGACCGUCGCAUAGAGCUUUAAAACUGGAUUAGUCCACGUUCAUUAGCCCAUAUCAAUUUGUCCAUUUAGUGUUUGCGGUCAGAAAUUGACCAUAUCCAUUAAGAACUAUGUCUAUUAAAGACUAGACCUACUAACACACGUGUUUACAUGGACUGUCAUGAAGUCCAUAAUAGACCUUAUAAGAAAAGUUUAAAUUUUGCAGUUUUAGCAAAAAAGUCAAUUUUGCGAUUGUGGCGGGGAAAAUCGAUUUUUUGGUUUUAACAAAAAAAAAACAGAUUUUCCGAUUUUGGCGAGAAACCCCGAUUUUGAGGUUUUAACGGGAAAACUCGAUUUUUGUGGUUUUAGGGGGAAAACUCGAUUUUGCGGUUUUGGCAGGAAAACUCGAUUUUUGGUUUUAGCGGGAAAACUCGAUUUUGCGGUUUUGACGGAAAAACUCGACUUUGCGGUUUUGGCGAGAAAACUUGAUUUUGCGAUUUUGACGGGAAAACUCGAUUUUGUGGUUUUGACGGAAAAACUCGAUUUCCGGUUUUGGCGGAAAAAACAAUUUUUGGUUUUGGCGGGAAAACUCGAUUUUACGAUUUUGGUAAGAAACUUCGAUUUUGUGGUUUUGGCGAAAAUUUUGAUUUUGCGAUUUUAGCUGGAAUACUUGAUUUUAUGGUUUUGACAAAAAAAAACUUAAUAUUAAGAUUUUUGCGGAAAAAAACGAUUUUACGAUUUUGGCGGAAAAACUCAGAUUUUAGAAACCUUAGCUUUUUGUGACCAUUGGACCGCUCAUGUUCAAAUAGUCUAAAUACAUUAACGCCCAUUACCCAUUGAUCAUGUGAUUCUUUUCCAUUUAUAAUCUAUAUGGACAAAUAAAUAUCACCAAAUUAGAUUCAUUUAUAUUUGGAGAUAGAUAACCAAUGUUCAGUCCGUCCAUUUGACAGCUAUACCGUCACAUACCCUAAACGCCAGUUUUCACAUGAGACCGUAUUGACCAUAAUCAAAAUUAAGACUGCGUAAUCAACACUUCUUAUGGAUUCUCUUUUGUUUAAAAAUCAACAUUUUAAAUGGCGUUAAAGAAAUUUUUUUGCUUUGUUGAUUUGAAGAGUGGACGGUUACAAGGCAAUAUUCAAAUUUUACUUCAUUUUGAAAUGGAAUAGUAAUACAUUAUACAUUUGUGAUAAACCAAAAAUAAUUGCAUUAUUUCAUUUAUAGAAUAAAUUCAUUUAUUACUACGUAAGAAUAUAAAAUAAAACAACAUUAGAGAAAAAUUUACUUCAAAUUCUAUUUUACAGUAAAAAAAUGAAAUUGUAGAUGCUCUUGUGUGUAUUAGGUUUUAUGCUGUUAUGGUUAUGUAUAAAACUGAUUCGAAUAAUAAACAGAUUAAAUUGAUGUACAGUUAGCUACAAACUGAAUGAUUAUUGAUUGACUAUACAUUUUCACACUUUCUGUUCUAAUAAGAUACCAGAGUAUAAGGCUAGUUUAUCUAAUUUUCUUACAAUUUGUUCAUCAUCUUUAUCUUAAUUUUGUUAGGCUUACUGCAUGAUUACUUUGUAUAUAUUCUGAAACUUAGUUACAUCGAGUUUUUAAAAUCUUUUAAUCAUUUCAAAUAUGAACUCUUCAAACUGUUAACUAGACAAUCAUUUGUUAUUUUGAAAUUAAAACUAGUACCAAAGAAAAGGUAUAUAUGAAGCUCAUUAACAACGACAACAGCAACAACCUAUACAACUAUUCAAAAGCAUUAAGUUUAAACGUAAUGCAUAUUAAUAUUGGUCUGGCAAUGUGAAAAUACUUGUAACAUGAGAUGCGUCCGUACAAAGAUUCGAGUUUUUCCUAAGAAGUGGGUUUGGACAAUUCAUAGUAAUAGAAGAAACAAGACAAAGCGUGUGUGCCUAUGUUGGCGGCUGAUCAUCUUCACACGGUGCAUAAUAUUAACAUUACAUAACGGUAACACUAUUUUCCAAGCGGUAUUGAUUUUUAUUACGAGGGACCGACGGCGACCAUUUUGGAAACAAGAAAAACGAAUAGGAAAGAAACGUAAAAGAAUAAAAUUGCAGGAACGAAAAUGAAUGGUUGUUCCAUCUCAAAUUUGACAAGAAAUAAUUUUGUUCUUUAUUUCUCUAAAAAAAGAAUGACGGGGAAUGAAAAGGAAAAAUCCUCUAGACUAUAUUUGCGAAGUGAUUUUGCCACAUGUUCUUUUUACAAUCAAUUUCACAAAAUAAAUAUGACAUGGCUACUGAAAUUGAUGACAUGGCUUCCGCAAAAAUAUGACAUGGAUAAUUUCAUUUAAUGUUGAUUUAUAUUUUUGGCAAACUUAUUAGAAUAUGGUAAUAAUUCAUAUAUUACAUUUAAUAUUGAUAUUUUUUUGGGUAAACUUUUUUAAAAUAUGGUAAUAGCUCAUACAUCAUCUAUAAAAUAAAUAUAUUCAUAUAUAACAUUUCAAAUUUCGAAAUAUUAUUAUUUUGUAUACUUAUACAAUUUGUAUUACUAAAGCUUUCAAAAAAAUUUACAAUUUUUUUUAAAUUUAAAUAUCUAAUCGUAAGAUCAUUAGUCUUAUAUAUCUACAAAUUUUAUAAAUAUUGUUUAGGUUAAAUAUUUGAUAAUUAUACAAUUUUAUAUUAUUUUUAUUAGUUUUAUACAAAUUGUUUUACUAUAUAUCAAAUCUAUAAAAAAUAGUAAAAUCUAUAAAAUUUAAUAAAAUUUAUUUUUAAAUAUAAGUUAGAUUUUAAAAAAAAAUUACUGCACAUAGUAUAGGAAAACACCUAAUUAUUUCUUAUAAAAGGUAAUUUUUUUUAGGAACAUUAUUCUUUAUCGUUUUUUGAUCACCAUUAGUACCCUUGGUUUAUAAGUUUUUAAUAUUUUGACAUGUGAGAGAGCAAAAAAGGUUUUCUUCCGGAUGUUGACUUUUCUGACUGCCCAUGAAAGAUAGAAAGUUUCCCAAAGUUUGAUGGGCCUCCGAUAUUUUUCUUUGUUAAAAUCGUCUACUCGUACAAAUUAAGCAAGUUGCAAACGGCAAAAGAAUACACAAAAAAGCGAGUUGCAAAACUUUUUUUUCUCUAUUGUUGCAAUGUGUUUUUGUUUUUAAAAGUUUAUCGAACACAACCUAUCAACGACUCUGUCUCUCAAACUAUUCACAGCUGGUCUUAUUCGUGUUGAUUGACUUUCAUUGCUAAAGAAGAAGAUAUUUUCUACGUAAAGUACUUUUUAGUAUAUCUUGGGGGGGGGGGGGGGGGGUGACUAUGGGAAUCUUCUAUAACGUAUGAGUUCGUACAUAUAAUUAUUCAAUUUAGACGGGUCUGGUCGUCUAGAUCUUGUGGCACUCAAUUUAAGACAAAACAAUAAAUGAGUUUGGGGGAUUUGGUCCGAUCCAGUCUAGGCGGCACCUAGGCCCCCGCCUAGGCAGCAACUCGGUCCUAUCCGAAACGAUUUUCUUAAAAUCCGAUUUAUACCGAUUUAUAUGAUUCAAAUUGGUUUAAACUGUUAUAAAUCGGUUAAAAUUGGUUAAAAAUGAUCUAAAAUUGUCUUUUUUUUUUGUCGACAACAUUACAGACUCAUAUUGACUCUGUAAACCACACCGGGAGAUAUUGAUCCAUGUGAACGACGAAAGACGUUUGUUUCCUGACACUGCGUGCUAGGUUAUCCGCCUUUGUAUUUUGCGUUCUUGGUGCAUGUAUAAUUUCUGAUCGUGUGAAGCUCUCUUUCAGACUCUUGAUAUCUUCCAAAUAACUUGCAAAAGCUGGCCACUCUUCUGGUUCUGAAACCAUCUUCACCAAUUGAGAACAAUCCGUUGCAAACGUAACCUGGAGUUGACGUAAAUUCUUCAUACAUCCAUAGCCCAUAGUAGCGCCUCCAUCUCUGCAUGCAAGGGAGUUAAAGAAGCUCUUACAUUCCUGGCUCCCAUUAGACCUUCAAAACCUUCUAAAGUACUGAACCAACCCUGACCAGAGAACAUAUCCCCCUCUUUCCAUGAUCCAUCAGUAAAACACCAUCUUCCAGGAAUUGACGGCAGAGAUGCAUGAACCUGUGUUCCCGUGUUCUGGUCCUUCAAAAUCUGUGCCUCUGCCCAGAGUGUGGAUUCCGUUUCUGCCAACUUAAGAGUGUCCCUAGGGUCCAUAUCCAGAUUACUAAAAACCUUAUUAUUUCUUCCUUUCCAGAUGUGUCAAAGUAUCCAAGCAAAAUGAUGAUCCUCCAUCGGUGGAACAACUCUCCAGAAAAGGUGAUCCAUGUUUGUAAAUAUAGAGCUUGUUGGGAAAAUAAUUGGAUUUGUUGGUAUUUUUGACAGCGCCCAAACCUGAAUUGCUGGAGGACACUCAAAAAACACAUGGUUAAUCGACUCCUCAUCCGCUCCACAUCUUGCACAACAUAUAUCUCCUUGGAUCCCUCGCACCUGCAAAUUCUUCUUAACUACAAUACACCCUGAAACCAAUUGCCAAAGAAAAUGUUUUAUUUUUGGUGGGCACCUUAGUUUCCAACAAAAUGCCUUCAAAACAUAAAUUGUAGGUCCAAUUAAUACUGGUGAUCUUUCCGUAAGCACCUUAGGUUCCAACAAAAUGCCUUCAAAACAUCAACUGUAGGUUCAAUUAAUACUGGUGAUCUUUCCCUAUCCGGGUAAAUCCUCUCUACUUGAUAUCUUGAUUUAACCGUAAAUUUUCCAUUAUUUGUGAAAUGUCAUCCUUCCCUAUCAACCAACUGGUUUCUGCUCAGUGGUAUGCUCUCUAUGAUUUUCACAUACUGUGGGUCUACAAAAGUACGAAUAACUUGCGAAUUCCAUUUUCGCGAAGUGGAAUCAAUAAGGGAAUCCACAGUAAGGUCUGAAAUCUAAAAAUGUCUAUAUAUGUUAAAUAAAGCAAUAAUAUUAUUACAAAUCUACAAAUUUGUCUACUUUCUUCUGUUUUGUAUGUCUAAUUUUGAUAAUUCAUCACAAUCAUUUUAUAAUUAAACUUAAAAACUAAAAUAUGUUAUACAAAUGUAUAAAAUAUAUAAAAUAAAUCAACAAUUUGCUAACGCCUAGGCCUCGCCUAAGUCCCGAAUAAUCCGCAUAGUCGCUAGUCUUCUAUAAAGCGUCUAGUUACCACCUAGCGAUUUUUAGAAUAUUGGUUUCUAAUGAACAUAUAUAUGCCUCAUUUGUAUGCAUCUAACGAUCUUUAAUUUAAAAUAAAUAAUUUAUAUCAUCUCGUCGACCAGAUAAAAAUUUCUAAAAAUGGAUUUUAGUUGGUAACUAACAAAAGACUUACAAACUAACAUAGGACUUAUAAACUAACAUAAGACUUACCAACUCAACUAAAACAAAAUUGUUGCUCUUUUGGCACCCUGCUUUGAAAAGCUUCUUAGAUGCUAGGAUUUGAUUCUGCAGAACUGCAGAACUUUUGUAUCCCUUGUAUCAUUAGUUUCUAAUGAAAACUCACAUACUUCACACAAAAAAAACUAACCUAAAACUUUUUCAUCAUUUAAUUUGUAUAACGUUAAAUUAUGGUAAUAAAUCUCGAUUCAAAACUACCCGAAUCAAAACUUUAGAUUCCUAUUCUAAGUCAUUUUAAUUUUUUUUUUUUUUUUGCUAAAAUUUGGAAGUCAUUUUAAUUUUGAUGUUUAUAACCCAAUCUACCUAUUUUUUUCCUGAAACACAACCCAAUCUACCUUGAAUCUUGAUUAUUCAUGUUAAAGUAAAUGGAAAUCGCGACAUUCGAAGUGAUCCGAUCCUCUAUUGUCAACCCCCUAAUAAAAUUGAAAACGAUUCUUUCACAGCUAAGAGCUACCACAGUUUUGACAUUUUAGGGUUUCAUAAAGAUAAUAUCAUCGUUUACCUUUUCCAAUAAUUAGUAUCAGAAAAAAUGGUAAAUGUCAAUGGUCAUGGCCGCGAAUUCUAUAACGACUGCGUUCUUAAAGACGUUUGUCAGUAUGUGACCCAUCGAAUCCCAAAGCCUUUUACAUUCACACGCGAUACAUCUGGUGGACGUUACUGUUACGAUAUGAUCAAUGCAAAACGAAGUUUAUAUUUAUACGAUUAAAUCGAAUAUUCGAUGUUCAAAGAGGUAUGACCAAAACUAUAAUACAUAUUAGUAUAUUACCAUAGAUCUCCUUCAAUUUCCGUUAAACCACGAUUCCUAGAUCGAGCUUGAAAGAUUCGGAAUGCAAUUGUCACUUUCAGUAACCAGAACGAACCACCGUUUUAAUCAGACAAAAUUACACUUUUUCUCCAUUAGGAGUAGUUUACAUUUUGCACGCCAUUCAUUUGAUCACACGACAUGCAUAUUAUGUGAUAAGUUUGAAUUACGCAGUCGCUAUCUAAUAAUAUAACAAUAUUUCCACAAAAUAGUAAAUCGUUGUCAUGAAAAUAACUAUGGUACGUACUCAUGCCGUCACAACUGUGGCAAGAGUACAAUCCCCAUAUAUACACAAUACCAAUUACAGAUAUGCUAAUGAUACUAUAAAUUUUACCAACGUACGUACAUAAUACUAGUAUAAUACUAACAACUAGACCCUGAUCCGCGCAUCAGGACAGAUAUGAAUUUUCGGUUUAUGGUUAUUUAUUUAACUAAAUGAUGUAUUUGUAAUAUUUGAUGUAUUAUAUUCACCAAGUAAAUAAUUUUUUGGCAUCUUAAACCAUCUAUUUAUGAUGAAUAUUCGAUAUCAUAUACAAAAUUGAACAAAUAGACGUAAUUAGAUAAUUGUAGACGAUAUAUAAAAACAAUGGUUAUUAAUGUAAAAUAUGAAGAAAUAUUAUAUCAUGACUAAGUAUGGCAUAAAAGAUUAUAAAUUAGUUAUACAUGUUUAAAGAAAAUAAAAUGAUUUUUAAACUUCUAUGAAAAAUUUAACAUAUAAAAAGGGUGAUGAAUUAGUCAUCAAAUUGUAAAUAAUUUCAUACUUUUGUUAAUAAUAAAUUAUUUAUAUUCUUUGUUUUUGUCAAGAUAAUUAUUAAAUGUCCAUAACAUUAAUAUGUUAAAAUGUCAUAUUAUGAAAGUCCAUGUUGUAACCGUUUUUUUUCCGGGAAGUGUAACAAAAAAAAAUUACCUUUAACUUUUCGUUUUUUUUUAAGUUCUGUGUCGGUAAAAUAUUAAAAAAAUCUCUCUAUCUUUUUCAAUGUUCAAUUUGAAGAUUAUUAUGCGAAAAUCAUACGAAAAUAUAGGCAAUUGGUUGGAAUCUCUAUAUCUUUAUAUUCCUAUAAAUUUUAAAUUUAUUGUUUCCUCUUCUGCAAGCAAAUCAAUUACCGAAGUAAUAGAUCAAUUGGUUGAAAUCAAAUAUAUUCUUAUAAUUAGUGUAAUUAUGGUUACAGUUUCUAUAUUUAGUAGGUACAUUAAAAAUACGACUUUGAAGAUAUUAUGUUUUGAUUAAUAGAAGAUAUUGGAUUUUGAGUUUGCAUUUAUUGAUUUGUUUUUUUAUAAAGCUUAGAAAAUCAGUGGGAUGAUUGGUUGGUUGAUACAUCCUAUAAAGAAAACGAAAACUAUAGGUGGUUUGACUAUUGUACAUCGAUCGAUGCAUGAUGUAAGUUGACUAUAUAAAACUUGAGCAUGAUCAUUUCAAACUAAAGUAUAGGUAGGUUAUAUGCAUUUGUUAUAUUGUAGUUAAUAUAUUUUAAAUAUUACAUAAGUCAAGUGAUUCAUGUUUUCGUAAAAAUAAAAUUCAAGUUCAUUAUUGGGCCGUACUCGUCCGUAAUAAGCUACGUUAAAUAUGAUGUAUUUUUAGGUUCAUUUAAUGACAUUAAAUUUAAAUUUCAUUAAGGAAAACUCAUUAAUUUAACUGGAAAAGACAAGCAUUAAAAUAGGUAGGUUCAUUUAAUGACAUUAAAUUUAAAUUUGAUUAAGAAAAACUCAUUAAUUUAACUGAAAAAGACAAACAUUAAAAUAAGUAGUUUAAAUUAAUUCUCAGUGACAUGGAAGUGUAAAUAAGUUAGAAAACUUAGGGGUAUUUUUUAAUGGGUACUUCUCUUUUAAUAAUAUAGAUUAUCAUUAUUAUGAAAACGCCAUUAUUUCUUUGGAGGUUCUUCACAGGACAGCCAUACCAAUGGAAGAAUAAACAAAUUUGUGUUACCCAGUAGUGGGGAGUUCUGAGAUAGUUACAUAUGGGAUAUUUUCCUUCUUUUUGCAUGGCUUAACUGAUCCUAGUCGAUAUGCCGUCUGAAUAGAAUCUGAACUUUCUAUAUAUAAUGACAGAAACUUUAGUGAAUUUAAAAUGUAGAUAUAUAGACACAUCUAAACAAAGUACUUUGUGAUUUUUCUUGAAGUGCUUAUAUGAUUUUCCCAUUAAAUAUAGUGAAAAGUAUUAGAUAUGACACAUACAAAGCUCUCAUUAGCUUCCAUAAUUAAAUCAAUAAUACGAAGGGAGCAUGGAAGUCAAAGGACUGAUCAUACAGAGUAUUAGAUUUGGUAGACUGAAAUAAGCUAGUUAUGUAUAUAUAUAUAUAUAUAUAUAUAUAUAUAUAUAUAUUAAUUUGGUUAACCCUUAACCAGUUUGUUUAUGCUGAUGGCAUAAGAAAAAAAGACCAAAAGGUUGAAUCAGAAAAUAAGACACUAUAGUUUUAGCAAAAACACACUUAUUACAAUAUGAUCUAUACAUGUAAAUUAAAAGUGACAUCACCAUGUCUAUGCAUAUAUGAAAACUAACAUAUAUAAGUGUAUAUAUUUAUUAGGUGUUAUUUAAGCUUCUCAAUAAAAAAGAACUUAAAAUCAUGCAACACACUUGGCCUUGUUUUCACGAAGCGAAAACACGACCAUAUAUCUUUUUUGAAAACUAAACGAAAUCGAGAUUUCGAUGGAGACAUCACACAUCACAUGAGAGACUAUUGCAGGGACAUGUGUAAUUUACAAAAAAGAAAACUUUAUUAAAUAAAUGUUGGUUGUUGAGAUUUUAGUUGAAGUUGUAAAUUAGAUUAAUCAAUGGAUAUAUAUAUACAAGACUAAGAUCGCAAGAGACGGUUUGGUUCAUCAUAAUAUAUUCAGUGGAUAAGAUUUGAUUCAUAAUAUAUCAUAUGGACUGUUUGGUCCACCACUCCUUGACAGGUGUCUUUCAACUGUUUUUGUUAGUUCCUUCAUUCCUACAAUAAUCUUUCUUUAUUUAGUAUCCAAGUAAUUACUUAAUUCUAUAUACAUGCAUAAUUAUUUCAUAAAAUAAACAUGUUUCAGUCUUUUUGUUUGUUAUUAUUAGUUGAUGUCAAUUAUUGUAACUACCUGACAAGGUGGAUAAUUUUCGUCAAAAUAAAAACCAUCAUGAUUUUCCUGCAUCCGCAGUGGGAAUCCUUAAGCGAAAAUCUUUAGAGAAAAAAUAAUUAAAUAAUCAGUGGAUUCCACUAAAAGAUAAGGAUUCAAUCUUUAAAAUUCUUAAAUAAGGACACUUUUUUAGUGAAUCUUUGCACUAUUUGCGGUCUCCACGACUACGUGGCGAUCCGUGAAUGGUCAUUUUUUUUUUUUUUUUAAAUCCAAAAUAUCCAAAAUUAAUCCGAAAUGCUCUUGUCGCUAAGGACUCCAAUGAGUCUUUCCGUUUCCGUUGCGCGUGCUCUAAGGAACAGAGUGCACACCAUACUUAAUACAACCAGCAUCAUAAAGUCUUUGCAUGUCAUUUUAGAUGAUUAAUUAAUUCAUUUGAAUUUUUAUUUUUUAUUUGUCAUCAUAUGAUAUGGCUUACCGAGAAUAAAACCCGGCUAAUAAAUCACAUCAUACAGAUAAAAAGUUUUUCUAUCAUUUUAUACUUUUUGGUAAUAAUCAUCCAUUAUUUACAUGUUUUUGGUGUUGGCUAUCUAACUAUCUUUUCAGUGAUCACACAGAUCAUUUUCAAUUCAAGCCUAAUUUUUCUUCUAUAAUUUUUACUAAAAACAAUAAUUCUAUAUAUAUAUAUAGUAAAUUUUGUUUCGAUGGUUUAACUCUAUUAUAAUAUUAAAAUAGAAAAAAAGUAGAGAGAUUUCACAUAGUAUAUAGCGUGAGAAAAAAAAACCUAGCUAUUUUAAUCGAUCAAAUUCAUAAUAACAAUAGCAUUUGAAUUACCAAAAAAUGCAAAGGUUACUUGUGAAACCAAACCGAUGUAGCUACAUGAAUCGAUUCAAGUAAAAAAAAAAAAGUUUGUUACAAAAAUAAGGUUAAAGUGUUAAAGUAGAAAAGCCAAGUUUACAGAUCUGAAAUCAAAUAUAGCCAAGGUUACGUUAACUCGUAGUUCGUAAUUAUUCUUCAAGAGAGAUAUUUGGGCCUUAAGGACAACUUAUAGCCCAUAAUACUUAACUUAUUUUCAAAAUUUAUCGGCCCAUUCAGUCUCUGGCUUGCUCUUCAAGCUCGGCGACCAAAGAAAAAGUGUGUUAAUUACCGAACAGCUUCUGUGUGAACUUGGUCUUGGUCGUGAGAGAAACUUGGAAUACGGUUCUGUAAUCAGCAGUGUUUAGUUUCGUUUCGAUUUCGAUUUCAUGGAGUUUGUAGUUGAAGAAGGAAAGCGAGUCCAUGAAGAAUGCUCGACUUUGAUUCUAGUAAGCUUUUCUAAUCGUUUUCGAUUUCGAUCUGUGUCUCUCCUCCUCCUCCCUGUAAAUCGUGAAAAAAAACUACAGCUUUCUUGAGAAACUAGGUUGUAAGCAUCUCUGCUGAAACAAGAAAAGCUUAGAGAUUUGUAAUUGAAGAACUUAUUGGUUUGUCUUUUUUUUUUUCUUCUUUCCAACCAGCCUGCAUUGUCAAUUGGGAACGUAGGGCAGCUGGCUGUUGAUCUUCUAGUGUCAUCUACUGCUGCAGAGAGAGUUGGUUAUCUCGAUGAUCUCAAUCUGCUUCCUUGUGUUGGCAACGACGCAUAUGGCCCUCUCCCUUGUGGUGAUCUCGCUCUUCCCCUCGAAGGUAAUUCUUUCUGCUUCAUGUGCCACUGUACAUUGUUGAAUCUAGCCCUUCAUCCUUGUGAGAACCUCAAGUUUUCUCUUACCUUUGUGUAUUUUCAGUGUAUGAGUCAUCUUCAACUGCUAUUACUCUUGCUCAGCAACGGUCUCCUGUUGCAAAGGUAUUACAUUUCCUUUUACCUUUCUGUGUAUUCAUUGCUUAUUGUGUUGGGACUACGGAAGAGCCAGUUAGCUUGAGUUUUUUCAGUUAAAAAAAUUGGGAAUUUGGUGACACAUUCUAAACUUGUAUAAUGUUUGAUGUAAAAACAGGGAAUGAUGAUUAAAUUUGCGGAGAAUAUAGCAGAGUUUGCUGCUUCAAGUGGAAAGAAGGAUGUUAUUGUGCUUUCUAGUUUAGACUUCCAGAGGCUGCACAACUUGGAUUUGUCAAGGUAGUUCAUUGACCUUCACUUGCACCCUUUUUUUUUCCUUGCAUAUAUAAGAGCAUAAUAUUUACAAGUUAAUUUGAGUUCUUUGUGGAAAUUGCUUUAGAGGCCCACAGGUGUAUUAUCUGUCUAACACCGAAUCUGAUGGAAGAGAUGAUCACUGUGAAAGGCUCGGGUUUGGAAGAUUGGGCGAGUUUGAUUCGGAAGGAAGAUGUUGGAAGUAUCUUAGCUCUGUCUUUGACAAGAACAGUAAAGAAGAUCUGACUUUCCCUUCGGAAGAUGAGCUUGAAGACAUAGACUACUACCCAAGCUUGCCAUUUGCAGCUCUCUUCUCAGCUUUUAAGGUAAAUUAAUGGCGUAUAAUCAACGAUUUAUCCACAUGCCGAUUCAUUGUAGAUGCUUCUAAACACUUAGAUGGUCUGCUCGGGGUUUAUGUUGUUUGUUUGUUUGUUAGGCAAGAGGCUUGAAGGUGACAUGCCUGCUAUGUUACUGUUCUGAAGGAGACAACAUUCCUGAUGCAUUCCUUCUAGCAGAGGCUGCUUCUAAGCUUACGGGUUUAACUCCUGACAAGUUCCAUGGUAAAAACAAUAUAUCUCUCUUCUUUCAAGUGUAAUUAACAUCUCUGGACAAUGAUUCGUGAGAGACGAUCAAACUCACUAUGAUCAUUCUUUUCUGCAGGGGAAGAAGGUGGGAAGUGGCGGAUACCGUAUUCAUGGAAGAGUAUGUACGGAGCUCCUCCUGAUAUGUCCAUGUUUUAAGACUGUUCUUGGAGCUCACAAAACCAGACAGUGGUUGUUGUAGUACAAGUGUGACAUUUGAGAUGGUUUUAAUCUGAGAGAGACCUCUUUUCUAGUUUUUCAUCGUCAAAUCUGUCUACUGGAUAGCAAGUAUAAUUGCUUUACUAGAAUGACAUAUCCCUUGAAAGUCUAUCAAGAAUCAUAGAAUAGAUGGAUCAAAUCAAAGUAUGAAUAUUAACUAUAGUAAUGAGAACUACUGCAGAGAAGAAGAAAGUUGUGAUGAUCAAUUGCUAGAUUUGCAAUUUCGUAUAAAGCCUGUAAACAUAAAUUUUGGCCAGGCUAGCCAUAGCCAUAGGGGAUGAGAUGACUACAAGUUUCUAAACCAUUAGGAUAAAUCACCAAAACCAGACGACAAUAAUUUGAGAAAUAUCUCCGGAACUGAAAAGAAAGUAGUUGAGCAAUCAAUUGUGGAGUCAUUGUGUUUUAAAUGUAUAGAUAGGGCAAGCCAAGUACUUCUGACCAGCUUUUUAAUGCACCUUUAUUGCCUUCAGAAACAAUACUAUGAAUUUACAUAUAUUUUCAUGCAAGUAAUCCUUUGUUUUUUCUUUGGGUCACAUGCAAGUAGCUCUGUGAUAUCUUGCAUAUUUUCAUUAUCUUAUCCAUUUAUCCAUGUGCAUUUUGAUCAUAUAGACUAGGAUUUAGCCAUGUUUAGGUUACAUUUUGCAUACAUGAGUCUCUAUCAGGGGUUGGAGUGCCACAUGGAGUUCUUGGGGCUAUUUGGAUGCAUUUGGAGCUCAAAAGAGGUGAAAUAUGUGAUCAUUGGACGAGCAGAGCAGGGGAGCGAGGUUCCGCAGCGACGUCAUGAGGUCGCUCCAAAGCACCUCUCAGAGCGACCUAGCUGGAGCGCGUCAUGAGGUCGCUCCAAAGCACUUCUCAGAGCGACCUAGCUGGAGCGACCCCGUGAAGUCGCUCGCCAUAUUCACCCAGUGAAGCGACUUGCCCAGAGCGACGCGCCGAGGUCGCUCGCAUCUCACACCCCUCUCGGAGCGACCUCCCAAAGCGACACCCCGAGAUCGCUCGCGUCUCUAUGGCGAGACGACACGAAGCGAAGCCCGGAGCGACCUCUCAAAGCGACCCACUGAGGUCGCUCCCGAAGGCCAGAGCGACCUCUCGGAGCGACAUGCCGAGGUCGCUCCGCGUCUAUUGUUGGGUCGAUUUUCUAUUUUACUUAAGGGCCUUUUGGUCAUUUCAUUAUGCACGUUUUUAUUUUCUAAACCUAUGUUUUAAUACUCUGUAAGCCACCACCAGGAGGGAUCUAUCUUUUGAUCUAUUGAGAAAUACACAAAAACUCUGUUGAGAAGUUCAUCUCUUGGAUUUUGAUUGUUAUGUUCUUGUGUUCUUGUUGAUUUCUUAUCUAUUUCUCUACAUGAUUAAUCUGAAAUCCAAUAUGGGUUUAAGAGGAAUCAUGGAGAUUAGUGAGUAAUCACCUUUUGAAUUCAUGGGUUAGGGAGAUCAAGGGUGAUUAGGUUAGUUCUAGGAUGUUUUAGUGUAGAUCAUUCUUGUUCCUUGCUAGUAGAGUAUUGAUAAUGCAUCUUCUGAGUUGGCCACUCAAAAGUUGAUCAAUAGACAUUUCCCACCCAAAAGGUGUUUGAUGAAAUGCCUGAGACAACUCUCCUAUGCUUUUAGUAUACUUUGCCAAAGACAUUUGUUGUUAAAGAUGCUAAGAUAGCUAAUAGACUUGUUAGUAAUGAUUGCUUUCAUAUUAUUCAACCAAAGACAUUUGAUGUUUGAGAUAUGUUAGCAAAUGAGCAUUCAUCUAGACAUAGAGCUUGCUUAGAAUUGUGUCUAGGCUUAAGGUUGAUAGUUUGAUUGAUCAUUUGCCAUCCUUAGUUCGACACUUGAUCACCCAAGGUCUAAUCCCUAUGCCCAUGAGUUCUCCUUUCCCUUAGUCAAGAAAGUAUCAUUCUGUUAUUGCUUUCUAGUUUUAAUCAUAGCUUAAAACUCAUCUAAAUCAUUGGUUGCACUUAGAUUAAGUGAGUACUUGCAUUCUCAGUGCUUUGAUAUCCCUCAGAACUGGUUCGACAUUCACUAUACUACAACAUUUGUCUUAGGAGCCCUGAAAACUCCUAACAUCAAAUUGGCGCCGUUGCCAAAUUCUGAGUAGAUUUGAACAUUGAGAUUUAGUCACUUGCUUGAGACUAAGUCAUUUUAAUAUUGUUUUGUUACUGAUUCUUCUUCUUCACUACCUUUAACUUUCAGGUGUAUGAACUUGAGGAGCAGGGGUCCAUCAAACCUAGUUCCAAUAGUAGCAGACAUCAGAGCUUUAGAGAGGGAGUGUGCUACAGCUAGAAGAGAAGAAGAACAACAAGCCCACUUGCAGAGAUUGGAUAUUGAUAUGGCAGAUCCACCGCAAGGGGCAGAACACCAACCGCGGGCAACUCGACCCAUUGGCACUUACGACCGCCCCAACAUACAUGGUCAUAGAUUGGGAAUCCGAGCACCAGCUGUAGCAGCCAACAACUUCGAGAUCAAAUCAGGACUCCUCAACGUGAUUGAGAACAACAAGUAUCAUGGCUUGGCUCUAGAGGAUCCAUUUGAUCACUUGGACAGGUUUGACAGCUACUGCGGGUUGUCAAAAACCAAUGGUGUGUCCGAAGAUGCUUUAAAGCUCAAGCUAUUCCCUUUCUCUUUGGGGGAUAAGGCACGUCAGUGGGAGAAGUCUCUACCCAGCGAUUCUAUCACCACUUGGGAUGACUGCAAGAGAGCAUUCUUGGAGAAAUUCUUCUCAUCCUCAAGAACUGCUAAGCUGAGAAAUGAGAUCUCCAGUUUCCAACAGAAGAACUUGGAAGGAUUCAGUGAAGCCUGGGAGAGAUUCAAGGGCUACCAAGCUCAAUGCCCACACCAUGGUUUCUCUAAGGAGAGCUUGCUGAGCACAUUCUACCGUGGUGCUCUUCCUAAGUACAGGGCCAGACUGUAUACAGCUAGCAAUGGGUUCUUCUUGGGGAGAACUGAGGAAGAUGCAGAGGAGCUGGUUGACAACAUGGUAAAGAGUGAUGCAGUCUACAGUGGAGACCACGACAGAAGCAGUCGAACAGAUGAUAAGCAGACGAGGAAGGAGUUGAAAGCUCUACAGGAUAAGAUAGACAUCCUCCUUGCUGAUAAAGCCACACAAGAGCAGCUGCACUUUGUUGGUAACCCAAGCCAAGAUACACCACCUGUUGUCCAUGAGGUUGAGGGUUUGGAAGGUCAGGAAGAGCUGUGUUUCAUCAACAACAAUGGUAGCUGGUACAAAAAAGAGCCCAACUUUCAGUACAACAACUACCAACAGAAAUCCUAUCCCAACAACCAACAUAGUGGUUAUCCGCCUCGAAACAACCAGCAAGGCAUCUAUCAACCUCAGCAAAACCCCUCAUCUGGUUCCUCUGCUCCUCAAGAGAGCAGCAUUGACACCCUGCUGAAACAAAUCUUGGAGUCUCAGACUAGAAGUGAGAAGCAUGUUGGUUAUGAGUUGAAAAACCUUCAUUCCAAGAUUGAUGGGAGCUACAAUGAGCUCAACCACAAGUUCUCACAUCUUGCUUCUACAGUCAAGAAUUUAGAGAAUCAGUUUGCUUCCAUGAACACUCACCAGACUUGCCAGCAAGGAUCUCUACCUGGAAAAUCUGACCAAAACCCCAAGGAGGCCAAAGCUAUCACCCUUAGGAGUGGUAAGCAGUUACCUCCUACAACCCUCACCAGGGAUGCUGAGAAACUAGGUGAGGAGGUGGCCAUCAACUUAGAUGAUGAAGUGGUGAUUGUUGAUGAGAAAUUCAAUGAUGAAAUCUUGGAGAAGAUUGUGGAAGCCAAGGGUAAAGGAAAGGUUGGGGAAGAGAAGAAAACAGUGAAGGAUGGUGAAGUUCUUGCUCCAGCAAGUGAGAAUUCUUUUGUUCCUCCUCCCUAUGAACCCAAACUACCAUUUCCUGGUAGAUUCAAGAGGCAGCUGCUAGAGAAGUACAAGGCUUUGUUUGACAAGAAAAUGAGUGAAGCUCAGGUUGCAAUGCCCAUCAUCGAUGCUUUCAUGUUGAUUCCUCAAUACAACAAGUUCCUGAAAGAUGUUGUAGCUGCAAAGAAGAAGGAAAUGGAAAGCAUGAUGAUUCUUACCCAUGAGUGCAGUGCCAUCAUCCAAAGGCUUGAUGUUCCAGAGAAGUUAGAGGAUCCAGGAUGCUUCACACUACCUUGUGCUCUUGGACCUAUGAUAUUUGAGAAAUGUCUCUGCGAUUUGGGAGCUAGUGUCAGCGUGAUGCCUUUGUCUGUUGCAAAGAAGCUUGGAUUCACUCAGUACAAGAAGUGUAAACUCUCUCUGGUGUUAGCUGAUCGUUCAGUGAAGUACCCUGUGGGCAUCUUAGAGGACCUACCUGUGAAGAUUGGAAAAUAUGAGAUACCUACAGAUUUUGUGGUGCUUGAGAUGGGUGAGGAGGCUCAAGACCCAUUGAUUCUUGGAAGGCCAUUCUUAGCUACAGCAGGAGCAAUUGUUAAGGUGAAAGCGGGCACGAUUGAUCUCCAUUUGGGUAAAGGGCAUGUUCUCCACUUUGACAUCAAGGAGAAAAUAAAGAAACCAACUGUGUUCGGACAAGCCUCCUACAUUAAAGAGAUGGACACUUUUGCUGAUGAGCAACUUGAAGAGUUACCACCUGAGGACGACGAGGAGGGAGCAUCUCCCUCUACUCAUUCUCCAUAGAAGGUAACCCACUACUUUCCCUUGUAUAUACCAUUUCGUUUUUGCAUAUUAGUUUUCUCUUUUUGGGUAUCUCUCUCUCCUUGACAACACAGAGACUGUGUUAUUUAAGUUUGGGGGAGGUACCAAGUAUUUGAUCACGUUUGCUUUGAUGAUUUGAGUCUCAUGCAUUGCAUUAUACAUAUAUAUUUGCAUAAAAAAAAAUUUCAUUUAGUUUGCAUCAUUGGCAUUUCUAGGAGAGUCUAGAGCAUAUAGGUUGCAUUUACUUGCAUUGGGAGCAAUGAUUUUAAAUGCCUUGUAAAGAACACUACGUUGCACCUGAGUAGCUUUUGCACCUCUCAAAAAGACUUGUAUGUUUCGAGCCUUGAAAACUCUUCCUGAAACUUGUUGAUUGCUGAAACUCAGUCUUUGAAGCCAACUACAACCUUAUUUGAACUAAAACUAAUGCUUCUUGCUCAUGGUCCCUUGUGUACUGAGUCAUGGCUAUACACACCUGAGUUGUCACAUCCUUUAUGCCAAUCUUAUUCUGACAAACUCUAGUGGUAGAUCACUCCCAAAACCUUUCCCUCCUUUUAAGCUUUCAUUGUUUGAUGAGUGAGGCUUUCUUCGGAAAGUCUUACAUGUGCAUAAUUUUGAGAGUAUCGGGAACGACAAUGCUUGAUCUUCAUUCUUGCUAGAUUGGGCACUCUAUUGUCUAGCUAUAGGUGGGGGUGAGAGUUGUGAUUAUGAUUUGGGAGCAAUGAAAAAGGAAAAGAAAUAACUCUUUGUGUUUAAGUGAAUUGUCUUACUGGGAUAAGUUGAAAAACCUCUAGCUCAAGUUAUGAAAAGUCUUGGCCCCCAUUUGAAAAAAAAAAAUAAAAUAAAAUAAAAUAAAAUAUGAAAAGAAAAGAAAAAGAAAGAAAAAGGGGGCUAGCAAGGUUGUUAGGAGCUAAAUAAUGUUUUGAGGUUGUGAAAAAUCCCUUGUAGAUUUCAAAGAGAAGGAGUUAAUGUUCUUAGGAUCUUUUGGUGAGAGAUGUGAGUUGGGUUUGACAUUUGAGAAUGAUUGUGUAAUUGUAUGUUUGGGAAAAGGGUAGAACAAUGGAGAUUGAGCAUUGUAUGCAUGAGUUGAUCCAUUUCUUAGAUAUAUUAUGUGCAAUGUCAAGGCUACUUGUUUCGAGAGUAAACCACCUUAAAGAUUUUAUGUUUCGAACCUCUUGAAUCACUUGAAUAAAAGCCUUCCCUCACCCAACCAAAUGACUUGGACCAACUGACCAUUUGCAAGAAUUCACCUGAUGUUUUGUGCUUAAUGAAUGUGAGAGUUGGUUGAUUUGAAUGUGUGGAUGCUUGAUGAUGAGUGUAAGGGCAAAAAGAGUUGAGAUAGGCCUAGAGAAGCUAGAGUGUAAUAAGAGAGUGUGCUCGUGCUGGAUUAGAUGUUGAAUCGAGUACUAGUUGUGUUUCUUUUGGCUAUGAGCUCCCACCUUCAAACCUCUCUCCCUAUGAGUUCUAGAAAGUUCACUUGUGGACAAGUAAAAGAACAAGUUUGGGGGAGUUGAUAUCUUGCAUAUUUCCAUUAUCUUAUCCAUUCAUCCAUGUGCAUUUUGAUCAUAUAGACUAGGAUUUAGCCAUGUUUAGGUUACAUUUUGCAUACAUGAGUCUCUAUCAGGUGUUGGAGUGCCACAUGGAGUUCUUGGGGCUAUUUGGAUGCAUUUGGAGCUCAAAGGAGGUGAAAUAUGUGAUCAUUGGACGAGCAGAGCAGGGGAGCGAGGUUCCGCAGCGACGUCAUGAGGUCGCUCCAAAGCACCUCUCAGAGCGACCUAGCCGUCAUGAGGUCGCUCCAAAGCACUUCUCAGAGCGACCUAGCUGGAGCGACCCCGUGAAGUCGCUCGCCAUAUUCACCCAGUGAAGCGACUUGCCCAGAGCGACGCGCCGAGGUCGCUCGCAUCUCACACCCCUCUCGGAGCGACCUCCCAAAGCGACACCCCGAGAUCGCUCGCGUCUCUAUGGCGAGACGACACGAAGCGAAGCCCGGAGCGACCUCUCAGAGCGACCCACUGAGGUCGCUCCCGAAGGCUAGAGCGACCUCUCGGAUCGACAUGCCGAGGUCGCUCCGCGUCUAUUGUUGGGUCGAUUUUCUAUUUUACUUAAGGGCCUUUUGGUCAUUUCAUUAUGCACGUUUUUAUUUUCUAAACCUAUGUUUUAAUACUCUGUAAGCCACCACCAGGAGGGAUCUAUCUUUUGAUCUAUUGAGAAAUACACAAAAACUCUGUUGAGAAGUUCAUCUCUUGGAUUUUGAUUGUUAUGUUCUUGUGUUCUUGUUGAUUUCUUAUCUAUUUCUCUACAUGAUUAAUCUGAAAUCCAAUAUGGGUUUAAGAGGAAUCAUGGAGAUUAGUGAGUAAUCACCUUUUGAAUUCAUGGGUUAGGGAGAUAAAGGGUGAUUAGGUUAGUUCUAGGAUGUUUUAGUGUAGAUCAUUCUUGUUCCUUGCUAGUAGAGUAUUGAUAAUGCAUCUUCUGAGUUGGCCACUCAAAAGUUGAUCAAUAGACAUUUCCCACCCAAAAGGUGUUUGAUGAAAUGCCUGAGACAACUCUCCUAUGCUUUUAGUAUACUUUGCCAAAGACAUUUGUUGUUAAAGAUGCUAAGAUAGCUAAUAGACUUGUUAGUAAUGAUUGCUUUCAUAUUAUUCAACCAAAGACAUUUGAUGUUUGAGAUAUGUUAGCAAAUGAGCAUUCAUCUAGACAUAGAGCUUGCUUAGAAUUGUGUCUAGGCUUAAGGUUGAUAGUUUGAUUGAUCAUUUGCCAUCCUUAGUUCGACACUUGAUCACCCAAGGUCUAAUCCCUAUGCCCAUGAGUUCUCCUUUCCCUUAGUCAAGAAAGUAUCAUUUUGUUAUUGCUUUCUAGUUUUAGUCAUAGCUUAAAACCCAUCUAAAUCAUUGGUUGCACUUAGAUUAAGUGAGUACUUGCAUUCUCAGUGCUUUGAUAUCCCUCAGAACUGGUUCGACAUUCACUAUACUACAACAUUUGUCUUAGGAGCCCUGAAAACUCCUAACGUCACUCUGCAUCUUGAAAUAAUCAAAGAAGUAAUGAGUGGAGUGGAUACUUGGUCAUAUGGACUUAACUUCUUUUUUUUUUUUUAACAAUUGUAUUAUAAUAUCAAAAGAAAUAUGAAAUCAAAAUACAAAAAAAAUAGGAGGAGAUGAAACAGAAUAAACUACUUGAACAAAUCUUACAGCCAAAGAGGGAAACCCCUUGCUACGUAGGAUUGAAACUUAUUUUCCUUGACAACACUAUUAGCAAUUCAGAAGGCUACAGUAAGGGCUUGUCGUGACUAAAUUUCUACUCGCCAACACAAAAAAUUGUCAAGCAUAGAAGAUAGCCUCAGGGAGUAAAAUUUUAAGGCCGGCCAUGCAGCAGGUUUGGAUAUAGCGCCUACUAGAGAAUGGUCUUCACUGGAGAAGAUAAUGUUGUUAAAAUGGAGGGAAUUCAUACUUUCAAUUGCCCAACUCCAGCUUUCAAAAGAGCCAUCGGUUUUGCUGAGAAUAUUGUUGAAAGAUCUUCUCCCAUGAAGUAAAACUGAUCCAUUUGAGUUCCUACGAAUCUAAGACGCUCCACAUUCAGACCUACUUUUGUUCCAGACAGAACCAAUAUCACAUUUCAACCAAGUAGCAGGUGGUGGCUUCCAUCCAAAAAUAAUUCUUUUCUUCAUCUCUAGAUCAAUUGCUUUCUCUUGAUCUUCCAAAUUUUUAACUAGAAACCAGUGGUCUAUUUCUUGAAAGAUUGAUCUUGUAAAGUUUGAACCUACUGAUAAACUUCCAUUGAAGAGAAAAUUGUUCAUGUUUUUUCAGAUUGACCAUAGAAUCCAAAAGCCAUUCCUUCUGAUGAUGAGGGGAUAGUUUUGAUUUUUCUCUAUCUGUAGAACAUAGUAAAUGUUGGAGUAGAUGGAGGAGGGGUCAAAACCAUUACAUGGAGAGAAAAAUUACAUAGAGCCCAUGUUUGUCUUGCAAUAGUACAAGUGAAAAGGACAUGAUUUAUUGAUUCUCCUUCUAAGCCACAGAUUUGGCAGCGAGUAUCAACUCUCAUUCCUCAACUCUCAUUCCUCUUUCAAUAAGAUGAUCAUCAACAGAGAUUGCACCACUAAUGGCUUUCCAAAGAAAAAUUUUAAUCUUUGAUGAUGUUUUUAUAGACCAUAUGCAUUGCUUGAUACCGUUUAGAUAAUGUUGCGCUUGACCUGAUAAUAAUGCUUCUUUCCUAGCAUUUUGUUCUGCAAACUAGAAUCCAGUCUUGACAGAAUACUCUCCAGAGCGUGUAUGGUUCCAGCAGUAGAAAUCAGAAGAAGAGAUAACUGGCUUUUGCUUUAGAAUAAGCUCUAUAUCUUGUUUAUAGAACAGGUUAUCCAGCUUCUGCAAAUCUCAUAGGUGUGUGUUGGGGAUUAUGAGAUCUGAUACCUUGAAGUUUAAGUCUACCAAAAUAUUCUUCAUAAGCUACCAAAAUGUUCUUCAUAAGAGGGAUUCGUAGACUUUCCCCAUCAACUAACCAAAGCAUAGUCCAAACUGAUACAGAGAGACCAUUACCAAUCAUAUGCCUUAAACCUUUAGCUAAUAGAUCUCUUCCGUGAAGCAUGAUGCUCCAAGCGUAUAUGAGGGUCUAUUUAACAUGUAACUUGGUUAGUUAUUACUAUAUUAGAAUUAUAGUCUCAUAUUAACUAAACCUGAAAAUUCUUCACAUAUGACGUAAUUCUACAUUGAAUUAACAUCCGUGGAAUGUAUUUACCCACCAAAUAAGCAUGUCAUUGGUCAGUCAGAAUCAUAGGAACAAUAGUCUUAGAAAAUACAAAAAGAGUAGCCGUGUAGAAGAGAAAGCAAACAAAUUGUAAUAACAAAAACUUUCUACUUGGUUGGCUUAUCAGGCAGUAUGAACAAAUGGAGAAAAGAAAAUAGUGAAAGAAUAAUUUUCUAAAAAAGUCAUGAAAAUCCACUUCCCAAUAAAGUUCUCAGACCAUUGUAUCAGAGUGGGACACCACAUCAAAUCCACAUUAAAAUCAAACAACCGUAAAGAAGCACUAUCUUCUUCUUCUUCUUCUUUUUUAAUUCCCUCAAACUCCGUAUUGCUAGUUUUUUGCUAAUCUCGUCUUCCUAGUUAAACUAAGAUAUUACAUUUAGGUUAACAAUAUAGAAUAGUAUCCUCAAUUACCCAAAAUCUAGUACCUGAACAGUGUACAGUCUAAACUAUCUAAUCCAGAACCAAAAUAUCAUUAAUAAAGGAAUAAUAAUACUCCAGGAUGGGAUUGCUUCCAAGUUUGCAAUUAUUAUGAUUAAUUAUUGUUAAUUUUGGAUCGUCGUAUUUGUCUGCAUCAGAUUAUUAGAAAAAAAAACAACAGUGACGUGGCAAUUAGUCUUCUGAACACCGUUUACUUUAGUCAACUCGGGCAUGCUCAUUUACGUUAAACCUUUCACUGGGAAGCUCUGUUUCAGAAUCAGAGUCUUUCUUUGUUUUUACCAAACUACCAUGCGAUUCGCGGCGCCAUCCCCGCGCUCCGGCGAUAUCUCACCUUCUCCUUCGCCAGCUGCUUCACCGUAUUCAGGAGUACCAGAGGAGAUUCUUUCUCCUCCUUCUGAUCCUCCUUUACAGUUUAGCCCUCCGUUGAUCGCCAUGGUGGUGGUUUUAGCCGCCGCUUUUCUUUUCGUGACCUACUCUCGCCUCAUCUCCCGCCGAUUCCUCUUGCCUCUCUUCCGCCGUUUUCGACGGUGGCGACAUCGUCGGCGCCGUCUCCUCCACCUGUCCUCUGCUUCAAACUCGUCCUCCGAUCUCCGAUCCUUUUCCCCUUUCCCUUUCGACUCGUUUCACUACUCCUCCUACUCUCCUUACGGACUAGAUGAGUCUGUUAUCAAAACUCUGCCUCUGUUUCUCUACUCCGCCGCCUCUUGCACCGGGAAGAGCCUUUCUCCUGCCACCGCGGUGGGGAAAACUCCAGCCACCGCCGUGGACUGCGCCGUUUGUUUGUUGGAGUUCGAGGAAGGAGAUUACGUGCGGACGCUUCCGUUGUGCUUCCAUGCUUUCCACCUUGAGUGCAUCGAUGAGUGGCUUCGAUCUCACCCUAACUGUCCCCUCUGCCGUACUGCGAUUCUCCGAUCCGGCGUCGUUGCGACUACCUCGCCCUUCGUUCCCUUGAUGGCUCCUAGAAUCCGUCCAAGCCUCGACGAAGAGAGUAACGCGAUCGUCAUCCGCAGCGAAACUCCGCCGCGGAGUAAUGAUAAUUUAAACACAGCCGCGACGGUUACAGACGAUCAGGAGAUCACAGCGGCGGUGGAAGAGCAAUCGCCGGCUAUUUCUCGGUUCCGGGAGCUGAAGAGAUCCUACUCGUUUGAUUACGAUAGGGAGGAAUCAGCAUCAGAGAGAGUGACGAUGGAGCCAGCCACGGUGUCUCCGUGGAGAUACCGGAGAUCCACGUGGAACAAGCAGCGUCAGUCUCCGUUCGGAAACCUGAAAUCGAGAGUGUUCUCGUUACGUUACCACAGAAGCGCGAAAUCACCGUUUUCGCGGCGGCGAUCGGGAGUGUUCUUCCCGAUAUCAGAGCGGAUUCCGGCGACGGGAAGCUCAUCGUCGCGGCGGACGAAAUCGAUGACGAGUCCGAGGUUCUUUAGAACGGCACCGCACUCGUCGAGCCGGUUAAGAUGCGGAGAUCCAGAGGCACUGUUAUCGCCGGAGAGGUGGAGGAGAAAGGACACGUGUAGGCUAGAUAUGUAAGAUGAAAAUGGACGGUGGGGAUGAAAGGAAGAAAAAUUGAAGUGGAAGGAAGGAGGGAGGGAGCAUUAAUGGAAUGUGGGGUUUGGCAUUAAAUGGAAUUAAAAUCGACGAAACAUGCCAGACGGUGAAAGUAUUGGAGCUGGUACGACGACGUUCUAACUGUUUUUUUUGUCUGUUGAGUUGUAUAGUAUUGUCCUCGGAGUUAUCAAAUGCAUUAACGUCCAAAUCUGCCCAAGUUAUUAUAGAAACGGAGUCAACAAACCACACUAGAUUUCGUUUCUAUAAUAACUUUAUUUUGUCGGUCGCGCUUAUUGCUUCUUUUUUUUUUUUAAUUACGGAAUUUUAUGUUUGCUAAACUUUUUGUUCAUACUACUAAUUUUAUAUUAAGCUGUCGAUUAAAUUUGCAAUUAACAACUGAUUAUUUUGUUACACUAUGGAGAAUGAUGUUCACAUUUUAUAUAGCUGCCAAAAGUUUUUGAUACAUGUUAUAUUAGUGAAAAAAUGUGAUAAUGUCUUCGGAUAAAAAUAAUUUUUUUUAUUAUUGAAUUUUUCAAAUUACAAUUGAAUUAAAAGAAAACAAUACAUAUCUUAAAUUUAAUCGACGAUGAAUUCGCAUGUUUAGACCAAAUAAAAAUGACUAAGAAGAAUACCGCAUCCUACAAAAGAAAGACAUAUAUCAACACAAUAACUACCAUAGAGAAUGGAAAAUGCAAAGCCUUGUAUAAUAGGAACAUAUUAUAAGAAAACAUGGACUCAGAAUAUAUAUAUUAUCAAGUUGUUUGAAUGAGAAUGGGUUAUCAAAUAUGAGUAUUUGAACAGAAGAAAAACGAAGAACUCAGAAGGCAAGAUGAAUCUUGUAUUACUCAGCUCACUGAUUCAUACCUGUAAAACUGAAUUUCCCCAUCUUUCUCUCAUUUGUAAAAAAAGAAGAAGCUGAAGCUAAAAAGAAGAAGAAGCUCCAAGGGUUCAAGGGCAAAUCAUUUCACACAUAACUAAUGAUUGAUGACCGGAGAUGGAAGAGGUGAUGUUGGAGGCUUCAUGUCCUCAUACCUGCCAAACACUUGAGUCUCUCAGUUCACAUAAUAAGAAGUUAAUAGCAAAGAACACACUUUCAAAAUGCUUCUCUAUCUCUUUCUCACAUUGUGUAAGGUGACAAUGGCCUUGGCUUUGGUUGAUCAGCUGCACUUUCUUCUGGGGUAAGGGAAGUGUCUGUCACACUGUUAAUGGUUUCCGCCUCUGGCACAGAAGCAGAUUCAGUCGUGUUCCUGCACAAACAACAAGCAAAACCCUGAAGAUUGUAUAGAUUUCAUUUCUUAAAACUAGACAGGCUUUUCCAAUUCUGGUUUCUAUAUACUUACACACUACCAUCAACUGUUUCCACCACGUCAUUGCCUCCAGGUACCUCUGAGAUUUCUUCUGCAGGUGCUGUUUUCUUGGGACCAGUUGAUGCAGGAGUCGGUGAGGUUGGUGGUUUCAGGUCUGCGUAACUGCAAAAAACACAGUGUAAGACUCUUAACAGACCACAGCCGAGUUAUAUAUAGAGAAAGAGGAAAAGUUGUUACGCUGCAUAAGGAGAAAGAGGUCUCAUUUUUGGUAUGGCUGGUGGUGCUUCUGCCUCCUCAGUGACAGUUGUUGCAACUGUUGAGCUUUCACCAGUAUCAGAAUCUGUUGGAACAGGCGCCAAAGUAUCGCUCUUCUGGAUACCAGAAGCUUUAGGAGUGGGAGAUGAAGGUGGUUUUAGAUUCUCAUAGCUGCACCAUAAUAAAGCCAAGUGUAAACAAAGCAUAAGGCUUUUGAAAUUUAUCAACCGCCUCCCACAUUCAUUAAUCCAACAGUGAUGAUACCAAUAGAAACUCAUAGGCGCAUCAUAAUCAACAUCAGUUUAGUGACUCCUGAAUAUGGUAAAGCCGCAAAGAUGAUAAGUAUUAUUUUUUUACCUAGCAUAAGGAGAAAGAGGCCUCUCUUUCUUUUCCUCAACUUGCUUCACUUCUACUACUGGGACACUGGUCUCAACAAGACUUUCUGGUGGUGGAACUGCAUUAGCCUCAACAGGAACCUGAGUUUCUUCCACCUCCGGAACCUGAGUUGCAUCCACCUCCUUAGCUUUGGUGGCACCAAGUGCUGUGGCCGGAAUAGGAGAUGUUGGAGGUUUCAAGUCUUCAUAGCUAAUAUAUAUUCACAAACCAGAAAAAGGAACAAGGGAAUCAGUCUUAUGUCAACAAGUCAUUCCAGUAACAUGAUUGACUUUAUUGCCUCUUGAGGAAAAAGUUGUCUUACGCGGCAUAAGGAGACAGCGGCCUAGGCUUAACAUCUUUCACUUCUGCAGGUGCUUUAUCCUCCUUGGGAGCUGUUGGUUCUUUAGUGACAGGCUCAGUAAGGACUGGUGUUACCUCUUUGGCUGCAACUGAUUCUUGCUUGACAGGCUCAGCAGGAACUGGUGGAACCUCUUUCGCUGCAACUGAUUCCUAUCCACAAUCGAAAUGCAGAGAGAUAAAAGCAGGAACUGGUGUUACCUCUUUGGCUGGAACUGAUUCCUGUCCACAGUCAAAAUGCAGAGAGAUAAAGAUAUCUUAUCACAGGAGAGAGAUGAUCAAGAUUAGUAAAAGAAGGGGGAGAAGAACCUUUGGUGGAGGCACAUAAGGACGUUUGGAAGGAAUCUUUUCAAGAAGCUUUUCAAUAGGGGUUAAUGGUGCAGUUGUUUCAGCAACCACUUCCACAAUCUUAGAGCAAGAAAGUUGAGGGUUCUUAGCCAUACAAGCUAGCAAUUCUGCAACCUGGAGAUCAAUCACAAGGAAACAAAUCAAAGCUUCUUCCCAAUGUGCUCAUCACUGAGUCACCGACAAGGGAGAAAAAAACAAUACCUGGAGAUUUGAGACCUGACCACCAAACAAUGUAUCAUCUAGAGCAAGAGUGAGAUUAUGAGUCUCCUUGUAUGCAUCAGUUGGUCUCUCCAUUCCUCCAGGCCUAACUAUCUGAUGAAAAUAAGAUGCAAAAGCAAAACUCUGAGGUGUGAUACAAUCCAUAAAGAGUAUGUGAAACUGUUUGUGUAAUCACUAUCACUCACUGCGUAGUUGAGACCACUUGCAAUCAAGGCUUCUUCAGCUUUUCUCUUCCAGCAAAGAACUCCCCAGAAUAGACUUCACAAACAAGAACAUGCCAUUAAGUUCUAACUGCUUCUCUGACAAAAGAGAAACAUUACAGACUUACUUGAGAAUGGCAGCGGGAAAUCCAAAUUUGUUUGUCCCCAAGGAUGUCACCAACAUGAAGUUAUUAACUUUUGCAUAUGUUGCUGCUCAUAAAACAAACAAAGAGACAACGAUGAAACAAGAAAGAUAGAAAGAAAGGACAAUGAACAAACUGCUUUGAGACCUUACCAGCAUCAACAAGGUUUUUGGUGGCCAAGUAAUCAAUCCUGUAAGGACCGGUGAUAUCGGAUAUUUCUUUCUCGCUAGCACCUAUACAGCAUAUAACCACAGAUGCAUUCCCCAAUGCAGGCUGUAUUGAGUCUUUCUUCUCCAAGUCACAUUCAACAAUCUCAAGCUUUUCUACAGCUGGGCUAAAGACACAGACACUGCCUGUUACCUUUUCUUCUAUGACAAACAAAAUGGCUGUAGCAAAAUAAUAAAUCAAAACAUUUUACUCUUACGUUGAGUUCCUUCAUCUGUGUUCAUAUCCUUAACACUCUGCAAAUGUAUUUAGGCAAGAGUAAGCUGCACCUCAAUGAUGACUUAUAGUGUGUUAAAAUGUAAAGUCAUACUUGCACAAGACUUGAUGCUCUCUGAGCGCUUCGAACUCCAGCUUUAACUCGAAAUCCGAGCUUCAGUAACUCUCUGAAUGAAUGAGGACAGUGGUAACCAACCAGCAUUGGUGAAACAAUUCUUGAGACUUAAGAAAAGAAACAAGAAGAAACUAACCUCACAGUUCUAGAACCAACUUUACCCGUAGCACCAGCUACAAAGACAAGGUCGUGUUCCUUUGAAACUAAGUUCGUAGGGUUUGCCUCUGUUACGGCAGAGCUUGCCUUUAUGGGAGCUUUGUCUAAACAAUGAUAACGAAAGAAAGCAAUCAACAAAACUGUUUCAAUGCAACUUGAAAAAAUGAAAUGCAGAGGACAUCAAUAACUAGAGAUACAGAACUCAUUAGGUUAAACCUGUUGAACAUUACCUGAAGCUCUGAGGCUAAGAUCGAAGAAAGACCUGGACUUUAUAGAAUCGGAGUGAUUCGUCAAACCAGAAAACCUGACAAUCCGAUUGUUCUUCCAUCCUUGGAGAAGGAACCUUUGUCUGGGAAGGGAGGGUACUGUUGUUAGAGGUUGCCCUCGGAGAAAACUAGUUCCUUCCAUUGCUAGAGAAGAAGCUGAGUUAGUCUUGUUUCUUGUACGUUAAUCGAAAUUUGUUCUAAUUGAAUUUUAUCUUGUGGAUGGACAGAGAGAGAGACGAGGAGGUGUGCCACUGCAUCCUGAUAUGAUGGGACCUACAUAACAUCAUAAGAGACCAAUGAAUGUUUAAUGGAGUGCUGACAUGGCAUAGGUUGGUUAUGUUCGAUACAUUAUGCUUAUCCCAUGACAACGAGGGGCAUACAAACAUCACUAAUAAAUCUGCCUUACUUUACUACCUAUGCACCAAAAGACCAUUAGUUUAUUUGGUUUCUUGGUCCUCCAAUGCGCUACCGUUUCUAGCUUCAAUUAACGGAUCUUCAAUCCAGCUUAACCAGCUCUACUUUCACAUUAUACCUGGUUUGCUUACUCUGCACCAGGUUAGCCUUGGGAUUGUCCCUUGCUCCACCAGAUUAAUAUAAACAACCUAUUCGCAAGAGAAAUUAUCAUGCACAGCUAACUUCUUGAGAGGACACUUUGGAGCUAGCUGUGAAUGUGCCACUCGUUGACUUUGUAAAACAGGAUGAGGAUGUUUGAAUGCCCAUCAUCAUCGGCUCCAGUCUUCAUUCUUCUAUGAUGAAUUACUUCUAAAUAUUAGAGUAUAAAACGUGCUGGUUACAUAGAAAUUCAGACAGAAGUGCCUGGUUUGUGUAUCUUGGUUUCCCUGCAUCAUCUUUUUCAUCGACUCUCUCGCAUAUAGAGCAUCAAUCUAAAAUACACAUUUUAAGAGCGAGAUUUAUCAUCUAUAGCAUCAAAUUCAUAAAUCAUACAAGUCACCAACAUCACCUAAAAGUAGUACACACUAGUAGUCCUACAUCCUCUGUAUAUGAUUAUCCUCUAUUAACGCGCUGCCAGUCUGAGAAACACAUUUCUCGACCCUGGGGUAAGUUUGUGGAAGAGAGACAAAGGCUAAGCAACCUAAAAGGUAAGACUUUGUGUAGACUACCAUAUAACUGGUAAACUAUAGGAGAAAAGGACCUGCCAAAUAUAUAUAUAUAUAUAUAUAUAUAUAUAUUCUAGUGGUACGACCAAGAACAGGUAACCAGCCGCACAAUGGUUUCUAACAACUUCAAAAACUCAGAAUCGAAAUGCCACAUAGUAGUUGUGCCAAAUGUCAGAUAACUUAUUAUCAGAAACAACAAAGUCACAUGAAGUUCCACAAAACUGAAACAACCUAAUCUUUGAAAAAGGUGCCAAGAGACACUACACUGAACUUGCAAGUGAAACUCAACACCAAAAAAAGAAGUCUGAUGAUACCCCUUAGGAAGACGAAACAGGGGGAACCGAAGACUCAGACGGAGAUUUUGCAGCUGAGAAACUGAGAGCGGCUGCAGCAGCAGCCUGUGGAGAAUAGAUUCGUGCUUUCUUUAUGAUUUCCGCAACAAUCCAAUUCUUAUGCUUGCUCAAUGGCCUCGAAGGAUCCAACUUCACCUGCAUCAUAACAGAGCAAGUUCCUUUUAGGAUCAGUGACUAACAAGAUCCAUAAGUCGCACGCUUCGUUAAAUGCUCGAGCUCCUGAUCAAAUGCAUCUCAAAUUCACUACAAAAUCUUUCAGAAGUUUGAGGGAAUUACUCGAUCGCCGAUGUUACAGGCGUUCGUCUCGUCGUGAGCCAUGAACUUCGAAGUACGCUUGACGUAGCGAUUGUAGAGCUUGUUGUGGAAGAGUCUGUCCACGGCUACCACCACCGACUUCUGCAUCUUGUUCGACACCACCGUACCUAUCACCGGCUUCAUUUUUCUGAGCGGAGAGAGAAAUCAACAAGUGAGAAUCUGGAGGCCGGGGAAGACGAUAGUCUAGGGUUUUAUAUUGAUGGGCUUUUAGUUUUAGCCCAAUGGAUCUGAACCGGAUUUAUACUGAACCGGAUUAAAAUUAAUAUCUGGUAAUAUAAAAUCGAACCGGGAUGAGGAUAAAGAAUCAACGACGGAAUCUAUGGCUACUGUAACCGCUUCGCUUCGUCUUCAACCUCUAUCAUCACUCUCCUCGUCUUCCUCUCCUCCUCCAAGUUCUAGACCUCUCUAUCUCAAGUUCAAUACCUCACACCGCGAAAACCUAAGAUACCUCUCGUCUCUCGGAGUAAUCCCUCAGAAUCCAAGACUCGCUCCUGCGGUGGACAACCUCCCUCACAUCCUCUCCGCCGUGAACUUCCUAAAAUCAAAUGGAAUCUCCGACGAAGACUUCCCUCGCCUCUUAUACCUCUGCCCGCAGCUCUUCUCUCCGACUUUCUCCAUCUCCGAAACAGAUCCCGUCUUCGACUUCCUCGCCGGCGAGCUCGGAGCCUCCGCCGCGGAAUCCAGAGGACUGAUCGUGAACUGCCCCAGCAUCCUCCUCUCCGACGUGGAGUACUGUUUGAGACCGACGCUGGUUUACCUCAAGGAGCUGGGGGUGAAGAAUCUGAACAGAGCGAGCAAGACGAACGCGCACGUGCUCAACACGAGGGUGGAGAAGCUGAGAGCGAAGAUGAGGUUCCUCAAGAGCAUAGGGUUUGAGCACGAGGAGGCGGCGAGAGUGUGUGGGAGGAUCCCGGCGAUAUUUGGGUACAGUGUGGAGGAUAACUUGAGGCCCAAGUUUGAGUUUUUGGUUUACGAUAUGGAAAGAGAGUUGGAAGAGUUGAAGAAGUUUCCUCAGUAUUUUGGGUUUAGCUUGGGGAAGAGGAUAAAGCCGAGGCAUUGGCAUUUGAAGAAGAAAGGCGUUAGGCUUUCGCUUAGUAGGAUGUUGAUGUGGGGUGAUCACAAGUUCUAUUCCAAGUGGAAACCAUGAUCACUCUCUUGUCAAGUUUUUUUUUUUUUUCGGGUUCAGUUUCCUAGUUUCAUUCGGAUAUACCGUAUUUGUUAUGGUCGAAAUUGGUUAAUAAUACUUUUGAGUUCACUUAUAUUUUAUAACUUGUCUAAACUUAUUUUAGAUUUGAAUUUGUUUCAGAUUUGGUUAAGAACGAGAGAUAUUACCAAAAAUACCACAUUAAAAUAAACAUGAAAUAUAAAUAUUUAGAAUAUUUAUUUAAUUCUGAGUAAUUAUUAUGGACAUUAGUUAAGGUUUUCGGGGUCAGAUGUUUUUGCUUAUUCGAAUUUUCAGGUUUGAGUUCUCGUAAAGGCAAAUCUCCAAAAUAGCAUAUUUCUAAGUUUAUAUCACAAAAAUAACACUCAAAAAGAAAAAUGACCAAAAUAGCACCUUUUUAAAUUUAUCCUUUGAAAAUUUUAAUUUUUUUAUUUUUCAAAAUUUGAAAUCUUAUCCCCAAAACUUCAUUUUUCAACUCUAAACCCUAAACCCUAAAUUCUAAACCCUAAACUCUAAACCCUAAACCAUAAACCCUAAACCCUAAACCCUAAACCCUAAAAUUUAAACCCUAAACUCUAAACCCUAAAUCCUAAACCCUAAAUCCUAAACCCCACCCUUUAACUCUUAAACCCUAAGUUUGUGACUUUUGAUAA
rnacentral:lncRNA from 1 species